rnacentral:lncRNA from 1 species
ACAUAAGAGUCUUCAUCUUCACCUCUCAAAAGAAAUCUAUCCCCACCCAUUGAGCUACAACUCUUCCAUCUCCUUCUCCCAAUCCUCUCCAUACCAUUCCUCUCAAUCAACUCUGUAAAAGAACAUGGGUGUCACAAGACUCAGUCAAAAGUACGCGACUCAUGUCACUCCAGGCAGGAUGUUCAAGGCCUUGAUCCUAGACUCCCACAACCUCUGCCCCAAGCUCAUGUUUUCAUCCAUUAAGAGCAUUGAAUUUCUUGAAGGGGAAGGAGAAGUUGGGAGCAUCAAACAGAUCAACUUCACUGAAGGUCAGCAAAAGUACUAGAUACUAAUUUUCCAGCAUAUACUCAGUGCCUUUGAAUUAGAUAAUUCAGUGAUAACAUAGCUAACAAACAUGUUUGAUUGUGAUGGAAUAUGCAGCUAGUCCUUUAACAUACAUGAAGCAUCGGAUCGAUGCACUAGACAAAGAGAAACUCACAUGCACAUACACUAUGUUUGAGACUGAUGCCCUGAUAAUGGACAAGAUUGAAUAUAUUACUUAUGAUGUGAAGUUCGAGCCAUAUGGUUUUGGGGGGUGUGUUUGUAAUCUGACAAGCGUCUACAAAACAAAAGGGGAUGUAGAGAUCAGAGAAGAGGACAUAGAGCAUGGCAAGGACAGAGCAAUUGGGAUGUAUGAAGUGUUGGAAGCCUAUCUCAUGGCACACCCUCGCGCCUAUACUUGAAAAAAACCUCUCUGAUUAUUUUGAGAAUUGUAUGUUUUUUUUCCUAAUAUGUUUAGCUACCUUUUUUUUUUUUCUUUUUUUCUUUUUUCUUUUUUUUUCUUUUUUUGGUUCUUGUCUUGAAAAAUGCAAAAUACAAUCAGUAUGUGAAUUUUGCCAAGUUAUGGGUUAUGUUGUCUCUGGGCUCUGGUUUUGUGGCUCUGCAAAUGACAAAUUCAUGGCAGGCAGAAAAGUCUUAGCAGCAGAUCUAGCAGUGUUUUCAUUUUUAUCUAAUGAUCUUUUUGCUUGUUAUGAACUUUUUCAUUGGAGUUCAAUCCAUAAGCAUCCUAUCAAUGCCAAAUAUGAGAAUUGAUCGGAGAAAUCAAAUGGGAGAUGAAUAAUAAAAUUUCCAGAAAGAAAGAUAAAGAGCUGAUAGAUAAGUAAAACUGCCAUUGAUGUGAUCAAUCUUCAUAUCUAAACAUAUAUAAAUGCACAUUAUCCAGGUUGAUAUUGAGUUCCCAUGUUAUGUUGAUCUAUGGUCUCAAUCAACUGAAUCUCUCUCAGGUUUUUGUCUGUUUCCUCUUUAAUGGUUUGAUUGUGGUACAGAGAGAGUAGGAUUCUUUCCAAGUCAAUUGAACCUCAAGGCACCCUUCUAUGAUAUGGUACUAUGAUCUCCCUCUGGUUCAUUAAACCACAAAAUAAAAACAAGGGUUUUAUCACAGUGGUGACGAUGAGAGAAUUGACUCCUCUAAUGGGGAAAAGAAGAAGAAUGAUAUAAGGGGUUUGUUUGGUCACAGUGGAAAUUAGUUCGAUGUUCUUCAUGGUGAUGGAUCUCAUCUCCUGCGUUGAUUUCUUUUGUUGGGAUUCCAUCUUGAUUUUCCAUCAUUCACCAUGUACCAAAGGCUUGAACAUCUUUAGCAGGAGCAGCCAGAGUCAUGAACUUUUUGGGUAAAGUAAAGCAGGUAACACCCAUCAUUGCUUUCAGAGCAAGAUUAUGAUCUCUUAGAAAUAAAAUUGAAGUAUAGAUUGGUUUGGUGUGAAGGGUCUUGGAUUCUGUAGGGGAAAAGGAAGAAUGAUAAAACAACUUAUAGGCCAAUUUUUGUGGUAGUUCUAAUUAUCAAAUUGGCCAUUUUUGACUCAACCUCAGCUGCCACCCAACCUAACUUAUCCAAAAUCUAUCUUGUUCAAAGUUCUUGUCUGAAAGGUCUAAACCCUUUUUGCUUUCUCUCCUUUGGCUGGACCCAAACUUCAUCUGGGUCACACGACCCCAGCCAAUUCUGAAAGUUCCUCCUUGUUGAGGUAGUUCAAACCCACCCAGAAGCAUAAGAUAUGCUUUUGUGAUUCCACACUUGAUCUAAACCUGAUAUCAAGAAAGAAAUCUACAAUUCUAUUGAAAGGAUAUGCGUAUACAUCUGACUAGAACUUUUGCCCAUACUGGGACCAUGUAAAGGUGGCUCUUGCCAUCGCAGACAUGGGGUGGGUACCUUGGUUCCUCAGGUCAAGCCGCCCAUGUGGCAUAUGCAUAAGUGCGUGUUUAGUCAAAACUCGGAGAGGCAGAAGGUUGAAUCUCCAAUUAAUUCCUCUUUUGUGAAUUCAUGCCAAACACAUACCACCUAAAACCCAAUCUAUAAGUACUGCAAACUGGUGAAGAUCCCCACAAUUUUCAAAGACCAUUGCUUUCAUAUUCUCCCAAAACAUGGGUGUCACCAGUUUCACACAAGAAUUCACAUGCCCAAUUGCCCCCUCUCGCAUCUUCAAGGCCCUGAUCCUAGACUCCAACAACCUGAUCCCAAAGCUCUUGCCCCAGACCAUAAGAAGCAUCGAUGUUGUCCAAGGAGAUGGAGGAGCUGGAACCAUUGAACAAGUGAACUUCACCGAAGGUCAGUAAUCUUAAAUCAAAAGAAUAGAUAUUAUAUGUUUUAAGCUCAAUAGUUAAAAGCAGUUUGUAUAUACAUAACAUUAGGAACUUUUUCCCCAAAUAGGCAUACACUCUUUGCGAGGCUAAACAAGCUCUAAUACUAUUUGUAACAACCUCGUCUCAACCCCAUGUGUAGGUAUUAUUCGCUCUAAGUCCAAUAAACCCACAUGGCUUUUAAAACUUCCAUAGGGAUUGAGAAUUACUUUGAAACAAUUUAUAACAAUCCACUCUCAACCGUGUAUAGGUAUUAUUUAUGAGCCCACACAAAUUUAAAAUGCUUUUAAAUAAUUAAAAGCAACUCAUACAUGUAUUGCAAUAGAAACUUUUUUCCCUAUCCCAUGUGAAAUAUUACAGCAAGAGCCUGAAAUAUGUUUCUUUUGGCUUGUCAUGCAGCUAGCAAUCUCAAAUACGUGAAGCACCAAAUCGAAGAAUUGGACAAAGAGAAUUUUGUGUGCAAGUAUCGUAUGAUUGAGGGAGAUGUAUUGGGUGAGGAGCUUGAAUCAAUUGCUCAUGAGGUGAAGUUUGAGGCAGCAGAUGGAGGUAGCAUUUGUAAGAUGGCAAGCGAGUAUCACACCAAGGGAAAGUUUGAGAUUAAGGAAGAAGAGAUAAAAGCUGGUAAGGCUAGAGCUAUGGGGAUAUACAAAGUUGUGGAAGCCUAUCUAUUGGAGAAUCCCCAUGUCUAUGCUUAGUUUCUAUCUUCCUCUAUAUACAUAUUCACACAUAUUUGAUUGUCACUUCUCUGUUGUCCAAUGUUUUCUCUAUUAUAUACUUUAUACUGGUGUUUUGUAUUCUUCAUUACAUGUACCCUUAAUUUUUUUCUUUUUUUCCUUGGCCAAAAUUGCCUCUAAAUUUCCCUAUUGUAAUGUUAUUGACAAAUGGAAAAACUAAGAAAUACGAAUUUUUCUAUUUGAAUUGUUGGAAUGGCAACACCCAUAUAAGUUGAGGGUAAUCUUUUCGUAGUUGCAUGAUGAUUGAAAAAUAUUCAAUAAUUAGUUCAUUAAAUAUUGCAUGUUAAUGAAAUGAUUAGUUUGAAAAUUAAGGGGGAUAUGUUAUUAUGAGUUUGGUGAUGUUAGGUGAAAUUCUAGAGAACAUAAAAGCAUCUUAAUUCAUGUGAUGAAAAAAUUGCAAUUGGUAUGCUAUUGGAGAGGUUUGGGAUCAAAAUGAAAAUAUGAAUCUCUAUCUUAAGCCUUAGGGGUGCUUUUCGAAACCUAAAAGUAGUAAAGGCAAAACAAUGUUUAGAUAUACCUAUGAAAUUUCUAUUUGAAGCCUUAUUUGGAGAACUUCUUGAAGCCUAAAAGUAGCAAAGGUAAAACAAGGGUUAGAUAUUACUAUCAAGUCUCAACUAUGAUUUUCAUACUUUUCAACGUGAUCUAUGAAGUAAAAGAAUUCAAGCUUUUACUCGUAGAGUGGUGUCAAAAGCAUACUAUUAUUUGUCUUUAAUAUCAAGUCCAACAAAUUGGUAUUAAAAAUCUUAUUAAUGAUUGUCUCCUUUGUUUUUAUAGUGUCUAGAUUGAAAUUCAAGCAUAUGGUUUGAUUUAACGUUUAAAGAGGUUUGUUUGGAUUUAGAUUAGAGAUGAAUAAAAUGGAUGAUAGUGGAUUCAACUUCGGGAUGGUUUUAUAUGAAAAAAUUAUAUAGAACAAUGAAUAUUUUAUAAAAGCAAAAUUAGUUAGGAAAAAAGAAUUAUUCUCUUAUCUACUUUUUUUCUCUUUCAAUGUUGAAAGAAUCCUCAUUUUCUAAGUACACACUACAAUACAAUCACUUCUUUUAUAUAUCUAUUACAGUUGUCAACAUAUGGAUGUAACAUCUUUCGAUAAAAACCUUUCAAAAAAUAAGAGAAAUUCAUUUGAUAUAUUAAAGAAAAUUCAUUUUGAAAUCUCUUCUUAUAAACCUUUUUAUGAAAACCAUUACUUUCCUAGCUUGUGGAAGAAGAAGAGCUUUAAUAUAAUUCACAUAUAUCCUAACGCUCUCUAAUGAUUAGAAGAGUUUUAUACACUUCACUACCAUCAAAGGAGACUACAAAUUCAGUUAGAAAAUAAAUGCCCUUUAGGAAGAACUUGUUACAUGUGCAAAAAUGUUGCUCUAUGGGAAAUGAUGGUUCAAACGCCGAACCAAUACGGGGCUAAAAAAAAUGAACUCAAACAAUUGUUAAGAGUACACUAAUAUCAAUAGGUGUAUAUAAAUUUUGGCUAUAAGCCUGAAGAAGAUAAAAAUCAGGAGACUAAUGUUAUAAAACGAUGACUCAUGAUACUCAAGGCAUGAGGAUGAAUAUGAUAUUAAAUCUUAUAAAAUGGUAUAGUGAGAUGUUGGUAAUGGCUAGUUUGCUUUCGGUGCCUAGUCAUAGGUAUGGCUUAUAUAAAAGAUUUGAGUUUAAGGUUUAGGAUUUCCAAGGAAAAGAUUAUGGAGGUACUCCUUCAAGAUUGUUAUACGUGCAAUAUAGUGGAAUAGCCACACUCGAAAUGGUCAUGACUGAUGUGAUGUUGAAGUACCAUAAAAGAGUACUAGCCGCACUCUCACCCACAGCAACUAAUUUGCUGAUGGGAUUACUAAUGCCCGAGCCUCAACAGAACUGAAAAAUGAGGCCCAAUGAGACCCUUCAAAUCCAAAUCACAAUGCUACAAUUCCAUAAGAGCUCCACCCAUUUGUCCACUCCAUCAGAAAGCAUGAGUAUUGUUGGUCUUCAUCCAGGAUUCCAGAUUUAACGAACCCAUCUUCCCUCUUUAAGAAUCCUGCAGAAGAGGCCCUUCGUUGAGCGAAUAGGUAAUGAAUAUGGACUGGCCUGCCAUGCAGCAAUGUGAUAUAUCCGCAAUGGGCAUCAGCAACAAUGAUUGGGAGAGAAUUGGGAUGAGCGUUCUUUCCUUUUCACUUUUUUGCAGUCGGCUGCCUUUUACCACCAUAACCAAGUGCGACAGAUAAUUUGGGGAAUGCAUAGCCAGACCGUAUAUUCCCCCAAGAAGACGACCUGGAAAAUACAAGGCAGCGAGUCAAUGUCCUACACUUGAAAACAAGAGUAGGUUUCACUUUCCAUAAAGCACAGUAGCUGUAGGCACUAUAAAUUGCCUGCUUCAAUCAUAGAAAAAAAAAGUUCAUGUAGUGUAAAUCUAUGUUUAUCUACACACUGAAGUCAACCCAUUGAAUUGAUAGAUGGCUAAAUUUCGUAGAGGCAUAUUUGGGUAUGUUCCCAUCUACAUCACCCCCCUUUCUCUUGUGGGCCAACCAGAGGGGCGGUACCAAAUGAAGAAAAUCAAAAUGACCUCAUUCAUAUCAAUUUUCCAACUUCAAUAAGCACAUUUUGAAAAAACAAAAAAAAAAAAAAAAAAACAAAAUCAUGUUUUUCAAGAAUUUGUUCUAUAAUGUUAUUGUGCUUUCAUUUAUUCCUUGUAGAAUUUUUAGAGAAAAAUUAAAAAUAUAAAAAAUAUUUAAAAAAACAUUCUCUUUAUACAAGAAUAUACAAUGCCUUUAUAGAGAAAAACCUGGAUAAACUGUUUUUCAUAUUUAUAUUUUUAUAUGGAAUUUUAUUUUUUAAAAUAAGUAAAAAUUGUUUUCAAAAAUUAUUUUUUUUAAGAACUGUUUUCAAGCAAAUCCUAUUAAAUUUUCAAAAAGAGUGAAACAUCAAAACUAAAGUUCCAGAGAGUCCUCAUGUUCACACCCUCAGUGGUGACAUCAUGGCUUUUCAUAAAGAUCAUUCAAAGCUAUAAGGUGAAUACCACCUCAAAAUAAAGCAUCAUGGUUUUUUUCUACAAAAUUGCCGUUAAUUUUUCUUGAAUCCCACAAGCCUAAAUCUCAAAAUUUGCCAAACAUAUAAGGCUACUGGCUUCCUUGCCUACUAGAGAAAGCAUGCCAAACACCGUCCACUGUUCACAAUAGCAUCAAGAACAAGAACCAAGCCAACUAGGACCACACCGUAACAAAAAGUUUAGUCUGAAAACAGUCUAGUCUUACUUAGGAGAUGGACACUAUAUUUAGAAAUUUUUAAGACGGGCAGAGAUGGAACCUCUCUGGAUCUCAGGAUGGAAUCUUGACUCGUUGAGCCAAUAACAUCAGAACCCAACCUAAUAAAGGUUAAACAAUUGAGCACAUAGUCCAGCAAAAACUGGGCUAAAAAUGAAGAUUCGUUACUUGUGAAUUAUGCAACCUGAUUCCAUGUAAUUGUGCUUAGUGAUUCAAUCCGAAGCAGAGUAAAGAAGAGCUGAAUCCGAGUCAUAGGACCACUUCCUGCAAAGAGGCCAAUAGCAAACCAAACUAAUCAAACCAUAACAAAACUUGGGUAGAUGUCUAAAUCACAAUCUAAUCAACACCCAACUCAUCAGUAAGACUAACAAAAAGUUCAAGCACCACCCAAUGUCAGUGGGAGAAUCUGGUCUCCGUCAACCUUUUAUGGCAAAGCUGAAAGAAAGGUUUGUGGGAUGCAACUCAGUAUAAGAAAAAUAAACUACAAUUUUGACACUAUAAGGUGUUUCUUGUAACAAAAGGAUUCCUCAAGAGUGGAUAUCCUUCAUUGAAAAAGCUACUUUAGAUUUUUUUUUGACAUAUAUAUGAAUGAUCUAUCCAUCAUCUGCUCUCACUUUAAUUCUUUUAUUUCUUUCUUGGCCGGGCUUUGGAUAUCCAAACUGCGCAAACGUCCCUCAAUUAUAGAUGGCCAUCCAUCUUAAAGCAAAUUCCCUUUGGCUCAACAUUCAAAGGUCCAUACAAAACACCGCCCUCUUUCUCGAAGCCAUACCCUCCUCCCUCUCUUUAAGAUUUGAAAGUGACUUCUGAAAGCCAAGCAAGGGCAAAAUUCACUCUCUGAGGGAAAAGCAAAAAAAGAUUCCUUGCAUGUCCCAGGCCUUUUGCCCUUCAAAUAUUCCCUCCUCAUAUACAAAUAAAUGCCACCUAUUGAUUCUUCAUUCACUCUCCACCCUCUCCAUUCCAUAGAAAACACAACCCUUUGUUUUUUCUUCAUUUUCCUGCCUUUCCCUAACUCAUGAUCCCAGAACUGGAGGUAUGUGCCAAAUCCACAGUAGGAACAUAUUGAUACAGAACAACUAGUGCCUACAUCGUAGUUCUAGCGUUCUUCUUUGCAGAUAUCUUGCAAGACAUUUUCCUAACCUGUCAGUUUUCUUGUUAAAAAAAAUGCAGAAGCCUCGGGUCACUGAGAUACAGGUCCGGAUGGACUGUAAUGGGUGCGUACAGAAGAUCAAGAAAGCCCUAUACGGCAUCAAUGGUGAGUGAUUUAUUGCUAAUGGGUACCUCAAUAGUGGUCUUUCUAUUUUGUCCCUUUACUCCUAUGUUUUGGUGUAGGUGACCUAAUUUUUGAGUUCUCCAACAGGUAUAUAUGAUCUCUAUAUUGACUUCCCCCAACAAAAAUUGACAAUAAUUGGGUGGGCGGAUCCUGAAAAAAUAAUGAAAGCCAUUAAGAAGACGAGAAAGAUUGCCACCAUCUGUAGUCAUACAGAACCGACAGACCCAGCCACAAAGCCACCGGAACAAGCACCUGAAGGCGGCGGCCCACCCCCAGCAGAAGCUGCAAACCCUCCCCCUGCAGAAGCUCCACAAGCCGAGGCUGCCCCACCAGCGGAGCCACCAAAAGACCCACCACCACCUGAAAAUCCUCCGCCAGAGGCAACACCAGCACCUGCAGCUGCAGAUGUUAAUGCAGGUAACCCAGCACGACCUAAAGAUGUGGAAGAGGUUCACGUAAUAUACCACCACCCACCUGAGUAUGGCUACAGAUAUGGGUAUGGUCACCGGUAUGGAGGGCACUGGAACAACUACUCCAAUGUCCAAGGAUUGCAACAAGAGCCACCCCCAACCGUCUACACCAAUGUCCAAGGAGUCCAUCACGAGCCACCCCCGACAAUGUACACCAAUGUCCAAGGACUCCAUCAUGAGCCACCCCCACCUGUCUAUGUGACUCAUAGGUACAACACAUACAAGCCACCACCUUACAUCACUGAAUACGAGUACAUCCGGUCGCCACCACGGCACGCACAUUACAGUAGGAUGGACCGCUAUAGUGAGGAUUAUCGCAACGUGAAUAACAGCAAUGGAAACAUCACUUCAAUGUUUAGCGAUGAAAAUCCAAAUGCGUGUAGAAUAGUCUAGACAGGGUAGAGAAGUCAGUUUGAAAACGGAGCUCUUUCUUUUGCCUCCAAGAGAGUCUUAGCUAGAAAGUCAUUGGAGAAUAAUUAAUGAAAUAAAAGUAAUUUGUGGCCGUGAUGUUUCCUAAUAAGCACGUGAAGAUAUUGCGAGAGGAAUGAGAUUCUGAGCUUGUAAGUGGAGGAAGAAUCGAUCCUGCAUUCCACUUCUGAUAGGGCCAAUACAUACUGCCGGGUAUUCAUUUCUUAUGUAAGAAUCCUGUAAAGCAUAUAUUCUACAAGCCUAAUCCACAUCCUUCCAUUUUUCAAAAAGACAUCCAUCCUUCUCUUUAGUUUAGAUUAUCUCAUAAAAGCAUCUGCCCUUGAAAGACGAAACAAAGAUCAACAAUUUUUGCUUGUCAUAAAGUUAUGUGAACUGCCUUUUUCCAUAGUCCAUUGAUAGUACAAAUUUUCUUUUCUUUUUCUUCUCAGCUGAUUAGAUCUGCAAUGACAUUCAUAAUCUAUCAUCUAAAAUUCAAAAGAUAACAGGAUGUUCAACUCUACAAGCUGUGUGAUAUAUAUGCAUGAUGACAAACAAUGGAUCAGAAUUUCCUGCUUGGUUAAACGAUACAAUGUCCUAGAAUGUUAAAAGAAGCAUCAUAAUAGCAUAAUUUUACCAUGAUUAGUUCUCUAAUUGUCCAACCUGCACUAUAUUUGAAGUCAUGCAAAGAAGUAAAAUUAAGGAUCACCAAAGAAAGUGGUUAAAGGGGAUUCAAACCCCAAAAGAAUUUCAAGCUAUUUUGUAUAGUCACAAUCAAGAUUGACAACUACAACAGAUCCCUGAAACUAUAGUACAUUUCUUUUUAAGGUUGUAGUUAAUUACGACCAUGGGAAUUAUUAGAGGUCUAAAGCUCAGCCAUCUCCUGUACUUGAUGCCAAACCCAUCCCUAUAAGCUGACCACCAUAGAUCAUCUAGACCCUGGUGCUUAUAACUAGAGCAAACCAAAAUCCAGUUUGGCAGCAUCUCAGUAACAGCCUGAAUCAUAAGAACUGAUGCUUUUUUAUUAUUUGAACCCAGCCGCUUUGUGACAAUGGAACCUAACAGCAAAAAAGGAUCAUGCUUGAAUUUUUAGCUUCACAACAUAAAUUGAAGCAUAUUUGAGAAAGAAGAAAGUUCAAUAUUUCUCCUAGAAGAAGCAGGUAGAUGUUGUUUUUGCCCUACAUACAGAGGUUCAUUUCAUCAGGCUCCACCUCCAAGUGCAACCAGCAAAAAGGGAACAUCAAUCCUAACAGCUCAAUUUUCUGAAAAACAUGCAACAGAAGAAAGAAGUCUUCAAGUGUUUCUUUCCAGUGAUUAGAUUUGUUAAGAUUUGCCCAAACGAAAUCGGAAGAGAGAAGCAAGAAGCAAAAUAGAAAAUGAACUAUGAGAAUUAAUAUCCAAGUUUAUAUCAAACAUAAGCAUGCCCUUCAAACUACACACAAUGGCUGAAUGCCAUUAUUCUUAUAUUUUAUUUUUAAUAUCAGACAGGCCUAGCUUACAUUAAACCGUAAGAAACUUGGCUCUAACUACUGCACAAAUCUGGAGCUGAAUAUGAUUCCUUUCCACCACCAUGUAUUCAUGCCUACCAAAUAAGAGGCCUUUAUCUUAUGAUUGAUGUUUUCAAGUAUAAAAGAGUUGUGUUGUGUAAACUACCAUCAAGGGUCAUGCUCAGUCACUACACUAACAAUAAACCCAAUGAAUGGACAUAUGAAAGAUGAGCCUUCCAUGCCUCGUUGUCACCUACCAACAUCAAAUAAAAUAUUCUCACUAAUGCACAUUCUCUAUUAUUUAUGAAAAUUAAAAUACUUUCACUAUCUUCAUUGAUGGUGGAUAAAAUGAACUACAUCAAAAUUCUGCUUUCAGGCUUUUGUUAAUUGAGGUUGGUCAUUCCUUCAAAUUAUGGAGCACAAAGCAUAGCAGAGAACAAAGUUGUCGACCACCAGAUGGUUAUGAUAACUAAUGAAAUGAUAUAAAUAAAGAUAAGACAAUGACCACAUUAUUGAAGUCCCUCACAAAUAGGGUUGCAAAUGAACUGAGCUACUCAUCAUUCAUGUUGGCCCAGCUUGGUAAUAGCCUCAUUACCUUGAAUCCAGACCAAGCUCAAGCCUCAUCUUGAAGCCUGUUUAAUAAAGAAGUGAUGUAAAGCAGAAGCAACAUAGGAGAGAUCUCAAGGAAAGUAAUAAAAGAAGAAAACUUCUAUUCUUUAACUCAAACUAAUUCAAAAUCUGAAUGUACCUCAAAUGCAUGAAUAUUUCUUUUUACAACAGAAAAAACUCUAAAGCCAAAAGAAUUCUACAGCUUGCUAAAUCUUAAACUGUCAGAAAAGGUAGUCGGGUGCCAUGUUUUUUUAAUGACUUGGCAGGUAACUGCAUAUCUGACAAAAAUUCUGCCAAGCUCCAUACAUUUCAGCAAUUUCCAUUAAUGAUUCUGAUUCCACCUGACUCCGUCUGCAUCCAAGUAUGGAAGUAAUGGAACAGCAGUCACCCAUUCCAAUUCCUUGAUUCCCAAUUCCAACUAGCAUUCCUAUCCUCUCAUUCCCCCUGUCUACACAGGGCCUUACAAUAUUGUACAGCUUCAGAUAAUCUCCAUCAAGUAUUUUUCAAGUACUAAUGACUCAAAAGCCCAUGCCUAGUAAUAAAAAAGGCAAAGGGAUAUUGACUUGACAAAGAAUUAAUACCUUCUGCAGUAAGAUACAGUUAGUCAUCAUUAUCACUGCUUAUCUGGGAUUCAUCAUCUUCUUCUCCAUAAAGAACAUCCUCAACUUCUUCUUCUUCAUCUUCACUUUCAUCCACCUGGUGACCAUGUUGUAUUUGACUUAUGUUUUGGGAAGCCUUAUCAAUCUGUUAAAAGAAAGAAAUAAAGUCAAAUGCCAAAAAAAAUCAUACAACAUAUACUGAACUAAGGUGAGGAUGUGAAGUUACUAACCUGUGCCAUUACAAGCUGCAAACCACCUGAUAGCUGUAAUAAAGAUUGAACAGCCGUCCCUCUAGAUUUUGUGCUCUGAGAGGGGAAAAAACAUCAUUCAAGUCCUCCACACUAUGAAUUAUGACCCUAGAAAAGUAUGAAUAAAGUGCAACAACAUUUUGGGGAACAAACCAAUAGGAACAGCAGAGCAUGAAAACUAUGUGCAAACUAGAGAACCUACAAAUAUUAUGCAUAUCACAAAGACCCUAGAAGGUCAGCUGUGGAUAUCAUUUGAGUUGAAAGAACUAAAAUGGUCAAAUAUUUAUUUCCCAGCCCACAAAACUGAGAAGGAGCAGAGGUCAGGAUCAUGAAUACAGACCCCAACUUUAGGACUUCAAGUUCCCAAAAUCAAGACUUUGAUCUCUAAGUAGAUGUCUAGCUGUAAGGAAAGGUUCUCCUGUUGAAGUCUAGAUUUUGAUGAAACCUAUAUUGAAUUACAGAAAUUAUAUAUUUCACUAUUUCAGUGAGCUGUUAUUUCAAGUCAAACCAAAACCCAACUGAAGUUCUAAUCAUACAUCACAGGACCACUAUGGCAGGAGCUUAAGGGCUGGGAACACUCUAGGGAAAAGCUUUGGCUCUGUUUUGCAUCUCCAGCUGAUCUCAGCCUAACCCAACCAACAACCCUACUGUCAAUACCAAGGUAUGGUUAGACGUUGAACAAGCCCAAUAAUAUAUCAGUUGUCAUAUAAAAAUAAAAAUAAAACCCAUGCACAGCUUCUUUUUUUCACUUUUUGCCCAAAAAAUAAUAAUCAAACUUUAGAAUAACAUGAAUUUUCCUGAUUCGGAAAAUGAUUUAAUUUCUUUAUUAAUAUAAACAUUAAUAUAUAACAUCAAUGCAGAUAAAUGGACUAAUGAAUAAUACACUAUACAGAUUCUAUUUACAUCAAUAGUACUACUAUAGAUUGUAACCAUGUAAUAUUAAAAUUGAUAAACUUGAAUGGCAUUGCCUAUAAAGUAACUACACUAAUUGACUGGUUCCCUGAUAUAGAUUCACAUUCAAUAGUAUUCAGAAUUGUUGGCAGAUAGUCAUGAUUUUCAAGUAAAGGCCACUCCUUCACCUUUUUGAUACCCUAUAAGCCUCUUCAUUUACGCAAAAACAGUCGAACAUUAUCAAUUUAUACAUAGAAACUAAGUAAAUUUUCCCCAUCAUCUUUUCAUACAGUCUACAAACCACAAAGGGGAAGGACUCACAGAAUUAAAAAUUUCUAAUACUAACAACAAAAGCAAGUUCAUAUAUAAAAAUACAUACAUGAAGGAGAAAUGAAGAAAACAAGACUUUACCUGGUGCAAGGAAUCAAGAAGCUGGGUCACUGGUUCCUGAGAUACUAUGUGUUGACUAUGAUUCACUAAUAUAGUAUAAAUCCAUGGGAGGACAUAGUUUCCACUGCAUGACCUGUUGAAGACAACCAAAGCUCUGAGGCAGUAAAAGCAAACACUGACUUGGGCACCACCUGGCUCGUAUAUAUCUAAAAGUACUGGUGAAAAUUGGCUGAUUUGACUUUUAAGUUUAGAAAAAUAAAAACGAAGAGAAAGAGGAGGAAGAAGAAGAAGAAUAAGAACCUCCCCCAUAUAUCAAUUCUAAGGUCCACUCUUUUCUCCCUGACAUGGGUACAAUCUCCCUCAUAUUUUGUACUAAUGACAGGUAAAAAUUGAAUGCUUUAAAGAGGUCAGCCCAAAAACAUAUAUGGAAAAUUUUUAUGUCAAACAAAAAGAAUAAAGGACAAAAAAAAAACAGUAACUUUGACCAAAUAAGAAAUUUGUACUUUCUUUCAACACAAGCAAAUAUGCACAACCUUUCUUUAAAAAUAAAAUAAAAUAAGUUACAUGUGCUUGCAUCUCUCAGUCACAUCUUCCCAUGUUGUAAUUCAAUCUUUUGCAUUUUAUGGUGAUGAUCAGAAGGGAAUGGAUCAGAAUCCCCUUGCACACCACAACCAUUUUUACAUUAUUUUUGUUAAAAUCCAAAGUUGUUAUUCAACUAAAGCUAGACCAUAGACAAUUAUCAAUCAAGUACUCCGAGUGGAUUUUGGAACCACAAAUUGGGUAUGGAGGAUUGACUAAACAAGGAUUGAAAUCACACAAGUUAAGGGUAUCUCUAUAUUUUAUUUAAAAUAUGUAGCAAGCUCAUUAAAUGGGUCUCAAUCAAAUUCAGUUGAUAGUUGACGGUUUAUUUUGAGUAAAUGAUAGUUAAUAUUUUAUUUUUAGAAGAUGGUGCUAAGGGGAGGAAGAAGUCGGUUUGUGGUGGAGUCUAAGUGGUUUGAGAUUGAGAUUGAGGAGUCAGGUGGGAGUUUGAAAGGAUGCAUAUGGGAGAGAAGUAGGGGUUUUGAGUCUUGGAUUAGAUUUGGGGAGGCUAGUCUUCGUUGUCUUUUGGAAGGCGUUGAAACCUGUUGUAGAGAGGUGGAUGAUCAAAGAUGGGCUAUUGAAUGGUUGGAGGGUAACAGAAAGUUUANNNNNNNNNNNNNNNNNNNNNNNNNNNNNNNNNNNNNNNNNNNNNNNNNNNNNNNNNNNNNNNNNNNNNNNNNNNNNNNNNNNNNNNNNNNNNNNNNNNNAUUAUCCUUCCUGAAGGAAAGGGUUAGGCCAGUGGAUGGAACUCUUUGGUUAUGAGGUUGAGAGGUCUUGGAGUGACACUGACAGAAGGAUUAAAGAUUUCCAAUGUGCCAGAGUUUUCGAUGAAGCCGAAGGGAGUCCUGAAGGUUCAGUGGAAGGAAAAGGGGGUGGAAAUGAAGUCUUUUGCAGAAGCUGUUAAAUCGUCACCGAGAAGGGCGGGUGAGUCAGUGUGGUUAGAGGUAGGGGAAAAUGAGGUGCGUGGUAGACUAGAGCAUCUGAAACAUUGUCUAAUAGGGAGGUGGGGUUCUAUCUCAGUUCCACUACCUGAGUUGGAUUUCGUAAGGAAUUGGACCCGCCAGAUUUGGGAGGUUAAGGGGAAGUUGUCGAUUGCCACGUUGGGCAGGUGUAUUAUGUUGUUCGAAUUCGAUCAGGCUCAAGAGGCUGAGCGUGUUUUGGCCAGAGGCAAAAGAAGCAUUAAGGAUAAUUGGCUUAUCCUGGACAAAUGGAAUUCGGAGGUGGGGUGUUCCUUAAAGAAUCCCAUUGCCGCAGAGACAUGGGUUAGGGUGGUCGGGCUCCCACUCCAUUUCUAGUGUCUUGAGGUGUUUAAAAGUAUUGGAGAUGGGUGCGGAGGAUUUAUAGCAGUGGAUGAAGGAACCAAAUCCAUGUCUGAGCUGCAAUGGGCGAGGAUUUUGGUGAAGCGUGUGGAUUGGGAGGUCCCUAGCUCAGUUCAUAUAGCUUUGGGGACAGGGUGCUUUGCCCUUCAUCUAUGGUGGGAAUCUGCUCCUUGGUUCUCACAGGUGGUACCGGCGGGAAGCUCCUCCGAGAAAAGCGGGUUAAGGGCAGGUGAAGAAGUUGAUGGGCCUCUUCGGGUGGCUUGCUGUGGGAGUCAAAGGAAGGGGGUGGAGCAGUUGGGGUUGCAGGUGGAGGUACGAGACGUGGCGUGUAAUGGAGGAAAAACUCUCCUUCCCUCUGUUGAAGCCUCUGCAGAUGGGACUGUUGAGAGGAGAUGGGCUGGUGGCCCAGCCGACCUAGUGGGAAGGGGUAGGGAGUCUUCUCCCAUCAGUUUGGUCAACUGCGGAAGUGGGCAGGAAGGCCCAAGCAAGAGCUCUGGCCCUUCAGCUUUAAGCUGUGGGGAAGCCCAAGUCUUUUAUAGGAUCGAUUUGGGCCGGGGUCCAAGGCCCAAUCCCUGCUCCUUUAGUGUGGGGAUGUCGGGUGAGGCCUGUGGGCCUGUCCAAGCUGGGGCUUUGUUAGAUGAGGUCUUUGAUGGUUUCGAGACCCCUUCCUCGCUCCCUAGGGCUCAGUUUCUGCAGCCGAUUCCCAUCUCCAGGGGUGCUAGUCAAGACGCAAGAGGAGAAGUCGAUCCCCUCGUCGGGCUGCCGCGAGACUCGAUGGCGCGAGUUUCCUCUCAGAUGAUGGAUCGGGGGUUCCUGACUGACGAAGCUCUAUGCGAAGAGGCUUCCAGGUAUGUCGAUCUCUGUCAUAUUCCUUUGGGGGGUCGGGAUCUCUCUUCUCCUUCUUCUUCUUCUUUUGAACGGGUGACGAUGAAUGAGGGGACCACUGGUGUUUCGUUUUCUGAGGGCAUCGAAGAGGAGCAGACUUCGUUGAGUAUUAUUUUGGCUGAUGGUAGCAAGGGAGUGCUAGUCUCUAAGGGUGAGAAGCAAGUGGCUGGAGAAGGACUGGGGGGGGAGUUUGAGGGGAUGUUUCAGGAUCUAGAUGGGUGCCGGUGGGACGACAAUUACUUGGCGAGGUUUAGCAAAUUCUUGGGCUUCUCCACGGACGGGUUUGAAGGCGAAGUUCUGAAUUUGCUCCUAAGGACUAAGAGAAGAAGAUAGCAAAAUCUGAAGAAGGGCACGUCAAGGACCACUAAGUUUGAUAGGGAAUUGAAAAAACUUGAGUGGUCUAUCAAUUAUACUGGGGCAAGAAAGAAGAAAUCUGUGGUCAGAGAAGGAGGGGUUAGAAUCUCGACAGUUAGAUGAAGCUAAAGAUUCUAUCAUGGAAUGUCAGAGGGGCCAAUGACAGAAGUAAAAGGAAGGUUAUCAAGGCCCUAAUCAGAUCACAAAAGGUGGAUUUGGUGUGCUUGCAGGAGACCAAAAUCCAAGAAAUGUCCCAAGGGGUUAUUCACAGUCUUGGCGUGGGAAGAUUCUUAGGUUGGGGAGCUGUGGAUGCAAGAGGGGCAGCUGGAGGGGUGGUGGUUUUCUGGGAUAAGAGAGUUUUGGAGCUAGUAGGCCUGGAAGUGGGAAUCUUCUCAAUCUCGUGUCAAUUUAAGAAUUGCGAGGAUGGGUUUAUGUGGUUCUUCACAGGGGUCUACGGACCUACUAUGAAAAGGUUUAGAGAACCUUUUGGGGAAGAGUUAGGUGUUAUUCGAGGUUUGUGGUCUGAUCCCUGGUGCAUCGGUGGGGACUUCAAUGUUAUUAGAUUUCCCAGUGAACGGAGUAGAGUUGGAAGACUAUCUGGUCCUAUGAGAAGGUUUUCAGAGGUGCUAGAUGAGUUGGCUUUAAGAGAUAUGCCUCUUCAGGGGGGUCCUUAUACGUGGAGUGGGGGGUUAAAUGGCCAAUCCUGGUCGAGAUUGGAUCGCUUCCUGAUUUCGGAGGAUUGGGAAAACCAUUUUAGUGGAGUGUCUCAGUGCACACUACCAAGGCCUGUGUCUGACCAUUACCCAAUCCUCUUAGAUGGGGGUGGUGUUAGGAGAGGUCCUAUCCCUUUCCGUUUUGAGAAUAUGUGGUUGAAGGAUGAGGGAUUUAAGGAGCUUCUGAGGGGUUGGUGGCAAGGUUUUAAUUGCAGUGGUUCAUAUAGCUUUGUCCUCACAGAAAAACUAAAGGCUUUAAAAGUUAAGCUGAAGAAUUGGAAUAAGGAAGUCUUUGGUAAAGUGGGAGUAAAUUUGAGGAUGGCUUUGGGCAGAGUUUCUUUCUGGGAUGAUCAGGAGAGGCAGAGAACGUUAAACGAGCAGGAGUUAGAGGCUAGAAAGGAGGCCAAGGAGGAGUUUAAAAAGUGGGCGAUUAUGGAGGAAAUCUCGUGGAAGCAGAAAUCAAGACAAAUAUGGUUGAAGGAAGGAGAUAAGAACACGGGGUUCUUUCAUAAGAUGGCGAACUCUAACAGUAGAAGGAAUUGUUUGAAAAAGAUUAAAGUCAGAGGUAUUUGGCUUUCAGACAAGCAAGAUAUUCAAAGGGGAGUGGUGAGGGCCUAUCAGGAUCUGUUAUCGGAUCCUGGUGGCUAGCACCCGAGUAUGAGCAGCUUGGAGUUUGAUAGUAUUGGAAGAGAGGAGGCUGUCAGGCUGGAGGAGAUGUUCUCUUUGGAAGAAGUGUAUCUGGCCCUUUCGGAGCUAAAUGGGGACAAGGCUCCUGGACCGGAUGGAUUUCCCAUUGCCUUCUGGCAGUUUUGUUGGGAUUUUGUCAAAGACGAAAUUAUGGGCUUCUUUAAGGAUUUUUUUGAGAGGGGAAAAUUCGUUAGAAGUCUCAACUCCACGUUUCUGGUUUUAGUCCCCAAGAAAGGUGGGGCUGAGGAUUUACGUGACUAUAGACCCAUCAGCUUGGUGGGUGGUCUGUACAAGAUUCUCGCCAAGGUUCUAGCCAAUAGGCUGAAGAAAGUAGUGAGUAAGGUGGUGUCUUCGGCCCAAAAUGCCUUUGUUGAAGGAAGGCAAAUCCUUGACGCAGCGUUAAUUGCUAACGAGGCCAUAGACUCGAUGCUGAAAGGGGAUGAAGCUGGUGUGUUAUGCAAGCUGGACCUAGAGAAGGCUUAUGACCAUAUUAACUGGGAUUUUCUGAUGUUAGUGAUGCAAAAAAUGGGCUUUGGGGAGAAGUGGGCCGGCUGGAUCAAGUGGUGCAUCUCCACUGCCUCUUUCUCAGUUCUGAUUAACGGGUCACCAGCGGGUUUCUUCCAAAGCACUCGAGGGUUAAGGCAAGGGGACCCCAUUUCCCCCUACUUGUUUGUCUUAGGAAUGGAGGCCUUAAGUUGCCUCAUUAACAAAGCGAUUAGGGGGGGCUUCCUUUCCGGCUGCAGACUAAGGGGAAGGGGUGGAAAUGGGAUUCAAGUAUCUCAUUUAUUAUUUGCGGAUGAUACGCUGGUCUUUUGCAAGGACUCCCAAGACCAAAUGGUUGUUCUAAGCUGGCUUUUAAUGUGGUUUGAAGCCAUUUCUGGUCUGAAUAUUAACUUGGAAAAGAGUGAAAUUCUGCCGGUGGGAAGUGUUGAGAAUGCUGAGGUCUUGGCUUCUAAAUUGGGCUGCAAAGUGGGGUCUCUUCCUUCCACUUACUUGGGGCUGCCUCUAGGUGCUCCUCACAAAUCAGUGGUUGUGUGGGAUGGUGUGGAAGAAAGGAUGAGGAAGAGACUCGCUCUAUGGAAGAGGCAGUUUAUUUCUAAGGGGGGGAGACUCACUCUCAUUCGGAGCACUUUGGCUAGCAUGCCGAUUUAUCUUAUGUCCUUGAUGCGUAUCCCAAGAGUUGUAAGAUUGAGGCUUGAGAAAAUCCAAAGGGAUUUCCUUUGGGGAGGGGGUGCGUUGGAGAAGAGGCCUCACCUUGUAAAUUGGGAUGUGGUGCGCUCUCAAAAAAUGAAGGGUGGAUUGGGGAUCAGAAAUUUUUCUAUCCUCAAUAGGGCCCUGUUGUGUAAAUGGAGCUGGCGCUUUGCGGCUGAAAGAGAUUCUUUUGGAAACUUGUUAUCAGCUCGAAGUAUGGGGAAGAAGGAGGGUGGAUCUCUUGUGAGGUUAGGGAAGGCUAUGGGGUGGGGUUGUGGAAGGAAAUUAGAAAGGAAGGCGUUUUGUUGUUUAAAAACGCUUCCUUCACUGUAGGGGAUGGUAGAAGGGUGAAAUUUUGGAAGGACAUUUGGUGUGGAAACACUCCCCUAUGUGAGGCUUUUCCUUCUCUGUUUGCCUUUGCGGUUUCCCAAGAUGCGUGGGUAGAGGAUUGUUGGGAUUAUAUGGGGGAUGCAGGGGGAUGGAAUCCUUGUUUCUCUAGGUCUUUUAAUGACUGGGAGCUGGAGGUGGUGGCGAGUCUCCUUUCGGUCCUUCAAGGAAAGAGGCUCAAUGUUGGGAUGGAGGAUAAAGUGGUGUGGAAUGCUUCUAAGAAUGGGAGUUUCUCUGUAAAAUCCCUUUACAAUACUCUGGAUUCUGGUGGUGCAGUCCCGUUUCCGUGGAGAAUCAUAUGGAGCCCUUGCAUGCCUACUAAGGUGGGUUUUUUUGCUUGGGAAGCUUCUUAGGGGAAGGUCCUAACCCAAGAUCAUCUCAAAAGGAGGGGCUGGUCUCUAGCAAACAGAUGCUUCUUAUGUUGUGAUGAUGAGGAGACUAUUAACCACAUCCUUAUUCAUUGCCCCAAGGCGAAGGUGUUGUGGAAUCUUAUGUUUACGAUGUUUAGGGUUAAUUGGGUUCUUCAGCUCACAGUUAAAGACACUCUCCUUGGCUGGUCCGUUUCCUUUGUAGACAAGAAGCGUGGGAAGAUUUGGCGGGCAGCCCCCCUUUGUUUAUUUUGGACGAUGUGGAAAGAAAUAAAUAGGAUAGCUUUUGACAAUGAGGCUUUGUCGAUCCAAAGAUUGAAAACCUCCUUCGUUUGUAAUCUUUCCUCUUGGACUAAGUCUUGUUUAGAUGGAGAGCCCCACUCCUUAAUUAAUUUUGUAGAUUGGUUGGGCUCUAAUUGAGGGUUGGUGAGUGUAUGCUUCCUUGUGCUUUUUGUUUUUGGGGCCUCUCGUGUAUACUUCCUGUAUGCUUUGGGUUCCCUUCUUGCUUCCCUCUUUUUAAUAUAAUUUUUCUGUGUUUAUCUAUCAAAAAAAAAAAUAUUUUAUUUUUGUGUAAAAGAAUAAUAGUUUUUAUAAGUCAACAACUUUGCUUAUAUUCAUGCUCAGACAUCACCCGGUGCAUCAUACACUAUCAGUUGAAUAUGGAAAAAAAAUCAACUUACCUAAAUAAAAAGAAAAAGAAAAGAAAAGAAAUAGAUGAUUGCCACAUUAUAUGGGAAUUCAAAUUAUAAACUUAGGGAUCCCUAGAUAAAGAAAACAAAAAAGGGCAUAUGUUGCAAGAAUAGAGGCACAUACCUUGAUUGCCACAUAGUCACCAAGACUUUCAACAACUCAUAUGCAUCGCCAGGUAUUAUAGACGAAACAGCUGCCCUCAUCUGAUGGAGAAGAUAUAUAGAGAAAGAGUCAUAAGACAAACUGAAAUAGAAAAAACAAACACAUGAAACCAAAAAUACACCACUAGCAAUCUCUUUUCUAUUUCCGCAAAGAAACACACCUUCUUUGGAGGCAUAUUUUCUUCAAGACUGAUACCCUUAAAUUUUCUAGAAUUAAGCAUUGAAUUGGAUGUAAGAUCAUCUUUGUUAUCAAGCAACCCUAAUGAUCUCAGCUGCUCCUCCAAACAAGAAGUUUCAUUGGAAGCUUCAACUGAUUCCAAGCCAUCUGCAUGUACUAACAUAACAAAAAAAAUUGGACCAGGAAGAAGCAAAAUCCCUGAAGGGUAACUCCCUAACAGGAGUAGUUAAGUACAAAAAUAUUAUGACCAUAUACUUUGAGAACCUUUUCCACUAUACCAAAAGUUGAAGUCACAAUUCAAGUAGUUUUAACAGGAAGGGAAAUUCUGAAAGAGAAGUUUAUUGUUGAUUUGUGCACAUCUGAGUUUGUCAAGAAUUUGCUCAACUUAAACAAGAGUCUAACAUUGAGAUAUACACCAAAUAUUAAGAUAUCAAGAUAUUUACAAUGCCACCAACAACUCCAGACAGCUCAAGGAAAUUCAUUAGAUUGCACAAAAUUCAGGAUAUUAACUCAACACACAACCCUUCUGAAGACAUAAAAGUCCACACUGCUUCCAUCAACAAAAGCAGUGGAACAAACCCAUAAAACAUCAAUUACCAAACACAAAACAGGAUUUAUGAUCAUAUUUAUUAAAGAUGGCAUAUUCUUACAUCAAAAUCCAAGCCCAUUGCCAUCCUCAUCCUCUUGUCAAUAAAUAUUGUUAAUGGUGAACUGAAAAUCCAACUUUUCAAUGGGUAACUUGCUCUCUUGUUGAGUAGAGCAAAUAACCACAGGAAGGCAACUUUAUUUCAUGAAUAUGAGCCUUAAACAUGAGGUAGGAUUUAAAUUCAAAAUUCUGCCAACCACAUUCAGUUCAUUUAAUUUUACCUCCUCUCUGCUUCUUCCUCCAUCUUGAGGUCAAAAUCCAGCUUCCUAGUUCCAACUUCCAUUAGUGUUUCUUGAAUUUUCCUUUCCUCUACCAAAUGGCAGUAGAGUCUAUAUUGUGUCUCCAAGCAUAUGCAAAAGGAAAUACGGGAUAGACCAAAGUACCACAAGAACAUGUCAUUGCUUUUAGUGUGAGGAGAGAUCUAAAACCAAAUUUCCAUCAAAACCAUUUGAUUUAUGUAACCAUUCUUAUAGACAUCCUUCAGGAUGAUCAGGCUCAACAAACCAUCUUGAAGAAAAUAUUAAUGGUCAAGGAACCAUUGUAGGCCCCCAAUAAAAUGGAGAUUGCCCCAGUGAAAGCAACCAAUAAUUCAGUGACUCUACCAACAAAUUACAUAAGAGUUGUGUAGCUAAAAUUAGGAAACUGCUCUGGAAGAAAGUUAAGCGUACCUUUGCUUUCCACAGCCUUAUUUUGACUCCUGACAUUCAUCAAAUCAUCAGCCAUUAUCUCAUCGGGGUCAAUAUUUGAGUUUUGAUAUCUUUUAUUUUUUUCAUGAAAAUCAAAAAUCUUGGGGAUUGGAAGCAAGGCUUCUUCAGCAUUUGCACGGUCUAAAGCAGUAACUGUCAAAUAAUUAAACAAGUAUUUAGUGAUCCAUAUAAAAUGUAGAACAAAAAUUAAAAAUUUUCACAUGGGACUAUAGGGAUAAAUGUAAAAAUUUCCAUUUCUUUUUACCAUCCAUACAACAACUAUUUGAUAUUUCAAAAAAAAAUACGAAAACUUUCAGACUAACAAACCAUAAACAUCAAAUCAAGCCAAAAUUGUAAAGAGAAGACUUGGAGAACACUGAGAAAAACCAUUCCUGAGGACACAUGGAUGAAACAUUAUAAAAGACAAAAAAUAAAAUAAAAUAAAAAUUAAACAAUCAAAUGAUCUAAUUGUAUGCAUCAAAAUCAACUCUGGGAAAAUGUCGGUUGGGGGGACUUUCUUACGCGUGGAAAAAUGGAGCCCCGAAACGGGGUGUGUGAUGGAAGGGGAAGCUAGAAGCGAGGCUUGGGUGAGGAUAGUGGGGUUACCGGUCUCGUUAUGGGACUGGGACAUUCUGAGAAGAGUAGGGGAGGAAUGUGGGGGAUUCUUGGCAGUCGACACGCAAACGGAGAAGCUGGAGGAGUUGCAGUGGGCCCGGAUACUGGUGAAGGUAAACGGUGACGAGCUUCCUAAUGCGGUGGAAAUUUGGGUUGAUGAGAGGUGCUAUGUGCUAACCCUGUGGUGGGAAGUCAGACCGCUUCUGAGGAUUUUUCCGACUGAAAAAAGCGGGAAGAGAGCUGUGGUAGAUGUCGACAUUGGGGGUGAGGCAGAUACACGCGCGGGGAAGCGCGUGGUGGAGGAGGGUAACGACACGAGGCUCGAGGUCAUGAUUCAGUCUGCAGAUGGGAUGCAGAGUCAGACGUAUGGGUCAGGGCGUCCUAUGGGCUCUAUUCGGAGCCAUGAUGGGGUGUUGGGCCGGACCCGUGGAGGCAGGCCAUUGCUGGGUGGCUCCCCCAAGAAGGGCCCAGUUGAGGUCCCUCUCCCUAGUCUAGAAGUGGAUUUAGCUUUUGGUUCUUUUGGGCCGUGUCUUAAUGGGCUGUGCACAAGGAAGGAUUCUGGGCAGACCAAGGAUAAUGGAUUAAAUGAGGAGCCUGGGCUGGUAAGGGUUCAGCCCCAUUCAGUGCCAGUGGGCAAAGCCCAAGUGGGAGAGGCCACUUCUUCAAAGAGACUAGAUCCAAACUGCUUGGGAUGGCCAAAAUCAGAGUCUUCCAUUUUCUGGGAGAAGGAUGGCUUAAGAAAGCAAUUUGAAAUAGAAAUCCAAGUUGUGGAGAAAUCAAAGACUGAUCUUGCCCUAAUUGAGGAAGCUUCGAGGUAUGGGAAUGCUUUUAAUCUUAAAGGAGCAUUAGUCUCUGGAUUCUCUUCCCCUUUCUCUUUUUUUCAUGGUCGGACUCCUGAAAGGGAGUAUUACGACUAUUCUGGGACCGUGUGUGAGACCGUCCAGGGGGAAACGCCGUUAUGUAUGCUCAAUGCUUCGGGCUUCACGGAGGGUAAAACCGUUACUCAGUGGGAGCUGGUGGAGGCAAACAACGGUUGCAGUGAAGUAAGCAGAGCGGAAUUGAGACCAGAUCAAUCUAAGCCUCAAGAAGGUAGAGAUUGGGAGGAGGCCAGUUGGGAGGAGAGUGAUUUGGCUAGGUUCAGCAAUUUCUUGGGGUUCUCCACAGAGGGACUGGAGAAGGAUAUCAUGGACUUUCUGGUUAAAAUUAGAAAGAGAAGGGAAAGAAUCCAUAGUAAAUCUUUGUUGGAAAAAUCUAAAUUUGAGAGGGAGUUAAGAAGACUAGAGUGUUCUAUCAACUACGAAGGAGGGAAAAGACAGAUUGGUGGUAGGCAAGGAAGAGGGUGUCAAAUCUUAGAAGUCCUAUGAAGUUAAGACUAUUGAGUUGGAAUGUCCGUGGAGCUAAUGAUAGUUCCAAAAGGAAGGUGAUUAAGGCCCUGAUUAGAAGCCAGCGGGUGGAUGUGUUCUGCCUCCAAGAAACAAAAAUUCAAGCUAUGUCGGAGGGUGUGAUGAGAAGCUUGGGUAUGGGUAGGUUCCUAGGUUGGGGGGCCUUAGAAGUUUCAGGCUCUGCAGGAGGGAUUUUGGUAUGUUGGGAUAAAAGGACGUUGGAUGUGCUCGAUGUGGAGGUGGGCCAAUUCUCAAUUUCCUGUAGAGUCAGGAAUGUAGAAGAUGGUCUAAUUUGGAUGUUCACAGGAGUGUAUGGACCUUUCUCUAGAGAGGAAAGGGAUUGUUUGUGGGAGGAGCUAGGAGCGAUUAGAGGUCUUUGGGAUGUUCCUUGGUGCUUAGGGGGGGACUUCAAUAUUACCCUCUUUCAAGGGGAAAGAAGCAGGCAAGGAAGGAUUACUGGGGCGAUGAGAAGAUUCGCCCAGAUGGUGGACGAGCUUGAGCUGAUUGACCUUCCUUUGCAAGGGGGGAGGUGUACUUGGAAUGGGGGUAGGGAGAGUCAGUCGUGGGCUAGGCUCGACAGAUUCUUGGUGACCCAGAAUUGGCUUGAUCAUUUCAGUGGGGUGAUUCAGAGCAGGCUGCCAAGACCCACUUCAGACCACUUUCCCAUUUUGCUGGAGUGCGGAGGUCUUAGGAGGGGUCCCUCCCCGUUUAGGUUCGAAAAUAUGUGGCUUAAAGUUGUUGGGUUUAAGAACUUGCUUCGGGGGUGGUGGCAGGAGACUGUGGUGAGAGGGAAUGCCAGCUUCAGACUGGCCUCAAAGUUGAAGGAGUUGAAGAAGAAGAUCAAAGUGUGGAAUAGGGAUGUAUUUGGUCGGUUGGAAGUUAACAAAAACUUAGCUCUCCAUCAAGUAGAGCACUGGGAUGGGGUGGAAAAUGAGAGGAUCCUUUCAGAGAGGGAGACAGAGCUAAAGAAAGAAGCCAAGGAAACCUAUCAGAAGUGGGUGUUGCUGGAAGAACUCCAUUGGAGGCAACUGUCCAGGGAACUUUGGUUAAAGGAAGGGGAUAAGAACACAGGCUACUUCCAUCGAAUGGCAAACGCACACCAAAGAAAUAAUACAUUGGACAGAAUCAAGAUUAAUGGGGUAUGGCUGUCGGAGGAGCAGGAGGUGAAGGAGGGGAUUGUCAAUGCCUUUCAGCAGCUUCUCUCAGAAGAGUCAGGCUGGAAAGCUGACAUAGAGGGGUUGCAUCUAAGUCAUUUAAGUAGUCAAGAAGCUGGAAAUUUGGAGUUACCUUUCUCUGAAGAUGAAAUACAUUCUGCCUUGAUGGAUAUGGAUGGGGACAAAGCCCCAGGCCCGGAUGGGUUUACAGUAGCUUUUUGGCAAGAAUGCUGGGACUUUGUGAAGGAGGAGAUCCUGGAGUUAUUCAAGGAAUUUUAUGACCAAAGAUCUUUUGCAAAGAGCUUGAAUACAACGUUUCUGGUUCUUAUUCCAAAGAAAGGAGGCGCCGAGGAUUUGGGUGACUUUAGGCCGAUCAGCCUAUUAGGGGGAUUGUACAAGCUUUUGGCUAAGGUGUUGGCAAAUAGGCUGAAGAAGGUCCUAGGAAGGGUGGUUUCCUUGGACCAAAAUGCGUUUGUGAAGGGGAGACAAAUAUUGGACGCUUCGCUUAUAGCUAACGAGGUGAUUGAUACUUGGCAAAAACGCAAGGAGAAAGGGUUGAUUUGUAAACUGGACAUUGAAAAAGCCUAUGACAGCAUAAAUUGGGAUUUUCUUAUGAAGAUUCUGUGUAAAUUGGGCUUUGGGUCUAGGUGGAUGGAGUGGAUCUGGUGGUGCAUUUCAACUGCCAAAUUCUCUGUUCUUGUUAAUGGAGUGCCAACAGGCUUCUUUUCAAGCACCAAGGGGUUGCGUCAGGGAGACCCCCUUUCUCCUUACCUUUUUGUCUUGGGUAUGGAAGUGCUUAGUGCACUUUUAAGAAGGGCUGCUGUCGGGGGUUUCUUUUCAGGCUGCAGAUUUUGGGGGAGGAGCAGGAUGGAGUUAAAUGUCUCUCAUUUGCUUUUUGCGGAUGACACAAUUAUUUUUUGUGAAGCAAGGAAAGAAAACAUGACUUUUCUAAGCUGGAUUCUGGCUUGGUUCGAGGCUGCGUCUGGGUUAAGGAUAAAUUUAGCCAAAAGUGAGUUAAUUCCAGUUGGCGAGGUGGAAGAGAUUGAGGAGAUGGCCGUGGAGCUAGGUUGUAGGGUGGGGUAUUUGCCCAAUGUGUAUUUGGGGCUGCCGUUAAGGGCUUCCCACAAGGCUUCCUCGAUGUGGGAUGGGGUGGAGGAGAAAAUGAGGAGAAGAUUAGCCUUGUGGAAAAGGCAAUAUAUUUCCAAAGACGGGAGGGUUACCCUCAUUAAGAGCACACUGGCCAGCAUGCCAAUUUACCAAUUGUCCCUCUUUCGAAUGCCCAAGAUGGUGGCAAGAAGGCUCGAAAAGCUACAAAGAGACUUCCUUUGGGGAGGGGGAAGCUUGGAAAGGAAAGUUCACUUAAUUAAUUGGGAGGUGGUGUGUGCUCAAAAGGAGAAGGGGGGUCUUGGCAUUAGGAGGAUUGCCCUUUUGAAUAAGGUUUUGCUGGGAAAAUGGUUAUGGAGGUUUGCCUUUGAAAAGGAUAAGCUUUGGAAGAAGGUGAUUAUGGAGAAGUUUGGUCAAGAGGGCCUUGGUUGGAGGACUAAUGAGGCUCGUGGGACGUUUGGAGUGGGAGUUUGGAAGGAGAUUCUGAAGGAGGCUGAUUGGUGUUGGGAUAACAUAGAGUUCAAGGUGGGUAAAGGGACCAAAGUUAGGUUCUGGACUGACCAUUGGUGCGGCAAUGCAGCGCUGUCUCAAAUUUUCCCCCUUUUAUUCGAAUUGGCAGCUCAUAGGAAUGCAACGGUUAAUGAAGUUUGGGACCCUAAUUUUGGCCAAGGAAGUUGGAACAUCAGUUUCUCUAGAGACUUUAAUGAUUGGGAGGUGGAUUUGGUAGGUAAUUUGCUGUCUAUGCUAAGGGACUACAAAAUUUCUUCAGAGGAGGAUUCGGUUUUCUGGAAAGGUGGGGGAAGUGGCAUUUUUAGGGUUAAGGAGGCUUACAAUCUGCUUGUUGAUUCAAAUGAUAUUGUAUUUCCGAAAAAGUGCAUUUGGGUGGACAAGGUCCCAACUAAAGUUGUGUUUUUUGCUUGGGAGGUCACGUGGGGGAAGGUUCUAACCCUGGAUAGGCUUCAAAAUAAGGGGGUGGCAGCUCCCUAACCGAUGUUUUUUGUGUGGGUGUGAAGAAGAAACUGUAAAUCACAUUCUUCUACAUUGUACAGUGAUCCGGGUUCUUUGGGAGAUUGUCCUAGUCUUGUUUGGCAUUCAGUGGGUGUUUCCAUAAACGAUUAAAGAUAUGCUUUUCAGUUGGAGGGGUUCUUUUGUGGGGAAAAAAAGGAAAAAGACUUGGAUUUCCAUCCCGUUGUGUAUUUUUUGGACGGUUUGGAAGGAAAAGAAUAGAUUAGCUUUUAGGGGGGGAUUCUUAUCUAUACAGAAACUCAAAAAUUCUUUUGUAUGUAAUCUGUGGAGUUGGGCUAGGGUGUAUAUUGGAGAGGAGUCCUCUUCACUCUUAGGUUUUCUAGAGUGGCUAGCGUCCACUUGAGGGUAGGUGUGGUUGUGGGCUUCUUCUGGUUUUUGGGUUUGGCUGCUUUGUAUACGUCCUGUAUGCUGUGUGGCUUUUUGCCUUUUUAAUCUAAUAUCUGCUUACUUAUCAAAAAAAAAAAAAUCAAACAAAUACUAAAAAUAAGAAGAUUUCACAGGAGUUGAUGGCUCCCACCUAAAGAAUCUCCAUGCCAAAGAUUAAGAUUGCCCUUUUUCACCCAUCUUUGAUAUUUUUAUGGAACCAUAAAAGAUAAGGAAAAUGGUCAAAGAAAUGGGCAGCAAGAGACCACUACCAUCCAGGUGUAUCAAGUUUGAUCAGAAGCAAAUCAUUUUUGUAUAAAACCUAGUUUAUUCUAUGAAAGAAAAACUUCAUUGUAAAUAAAAUAUGAAUUUCCAAAACUUUUGUACAGGUUUCUAAGACAUUAGGAUCCAUACUGUAGUGUUCAACUAAUUAAAACAGAGUCAAUAGUAAAAAUUUUGAUCAAGCCUUACCUCCAUCUUUCACACCAAGCCCUUUCUUAGAUUUAUGAGACUGGUCCAUUGGUAGAAGGAUACCAUCCUGGGAGAUGUUUAUCUUGAUGUCUGUGCCAGAAUGCACUAUGACUUUCUGAAAUGACGGCUUUACUAGUGAACCAUAGGCAACAAAUACAUCACCUGAUGCAGGUUUGACAACACCUUGUAAUUUCGCAGCAAAUAUUGUAGGCAAUGAACCCUUGUGAUUCUUAGAGAAGUUGUCUUCAAGAGAUACUGAAACUUUUGUGGGCUUUGUAUUACGUAAGUCCUCCAUAUUCUUUGCAUACCAAAAAUAACAAACACCAAUUUCAGAAAUAGCCAAGACAUAUAAGCCUGACUUAUCUGUAUCCCCAUUGUCAAUGCACCUGCUAUCUAGGAAGACAGCAGGGUGCUCCAUUGCAAGAACACAGCUGGCUGACUGUUUUUUGCUACCAUCAAUUCUCCAAACUGCAAUAUAUCUCUCACCAAUAGCAGAUGAUAGGAUGUACUCCCCAUCAUCAGUAAAGAUCAUACAGCGAACAGCUCCCUGUUAAUGAGUGAAGAGAUAAUUUACUCAACUAUGAACAGAAAAUAAAAAAGAUAACCAGUUUACUCCACACAUCAGGUUGAUUGUUUUGAAUGAGAUGAAAUAGGAGUAAACUUGAUAAGAAAUAUAAAAACUGAAUAGGACUCACAGGAUGACCAGAAAACUUCUGUAUCUUCUUGUGAUCAGAAGAAUUGAGGAUCUUUAAUUGAGCAGCUGCAGUCGCCAAUACCUUUCCAUCUGAGGUGGACAAAUUCCCAUCCAAGUGGCAUUAUCAUAAAAAGAAGAGUAAUCAGCAUACUGAAAAAUCUUGCAUUCUGGUUUCCAGCAUAGACAAUUUCCUGUCUUCCCAGUGGCUUUUAAUGCUUUAUUCUUGUAAUAUUAGUAAAUUGUCCAUUUUGUGUAUUCAUUUAAUAGUAACCAUAGAGCCAUCUUCAAGACAUGAGCUCCAUCAUUCCACAUGACAUUCUUCAUAAAAUUUUUUUUUUUUUUUUAUCAGUGACAUUCUUCAUAAAAUAUUUAAUUCAGUUGACAAUCAAACACUAAUUUACCAUCGAAUAAUGUGUUUGCUUCUACAUAAAAUAAAGCAACAGCAACUCAAAAGCUAAGGGCAAAGACCUGACGAAACAGACAUAGAUGAUAUUGCCUUUGUAGAAGCUCUAAACUUCCCCAAUAGGUUUCCUGCACUGGAAUCGAUUUUGGAAAUCAUCCCAUCAGCUCCAGCAGCAUAAAUGCAUGAACCAUCAGUAGAACAUGAAAUAGCACUAACACCCCUGCACAUUGUAGAAGCAAAUCCGGUUGAUCAGGCAUUCCAAGUGUAAAUGCUGUGUUUUAACAUUAUGAAUAUUCAGCCCGCAUCAUCCAUUUAAUUAAUAGAGUUUGUCCAUUAAAUUCUCAGAGUGAGAGAGAGAGCGAGAGAGAGAGACCAGCAUGCUACAAAUGGCAUUCCAUCACCUAAAACACAAUAAACUUUUUUGGUCUCACCAUCCGGUCACAGCAAUAUAAUUUGAAUUGAAUAGUAAUGGCUUAACUCAAUUCCUCAUUUUCUACCAUGUCUUCUAUGUACUUUAGACAGAAAAUGUGCAUUAGUAUAUCACAUCACUGUAUCUAAUUUAAGAAUCAAUCAUAAGAAGGAAUUUGAUGCAAUUCAAAUUGCAGAUAAAUAAAUGAGAUUAUAGAUAUUAGAAGAACAAAAAAGUUUUGAAAAACAAGGUUCAUCCUUUGGUCCUAAUAAUACUUGCUAUUUUUUUUUUUUAUAAGUAAACACAAAAAAUAUAUAUAUAUUAGAAGAAAGGGCGCCUUAAGGUUGACCCAAAGCAUACAGGGGCAUACAAGAGGCGCCAAAAAGCAAAAACAAAAAGAAGAGGAGAUACAAAAUAUUACCAGUCCUCAUCUAGAACCCAACCAAUCAAAAAGGUUGAUUAAAGGAAGAGGUCCUUCAUCUAUAAUCAACUUAGUCCAAAACCAAAAAUUACAUACAAAAGAAUUUUUCAUCCUAUGAAUUGAAAGCUCCUCAUUUUCAAAAGCAAUUAUAUUUCUUUCCUUCCAAACCACCCAAAAAAGACAUAAGGGGGCUGUCAUCCGCACCUUACUACGCUUCUUGCCCAUGUUGAUACCAUGUCAACCAAGAAGGGUAUCUCUAACCAAAUAAGGAAGCACCCACAUCACUCCAAAAAGAGCAAACAAUAACUCCCAUAAAAUUCUUGCCUUGGUGCAAUGAAUUAGAAUAUGAUCAAUAAACUUUUCUUCCGCACAACAAAGGAAGCAUCUAUUAGCUAAAGUCCACCCCCUCUUUUUAAGUUGAUCCAAAGUUAACACCUUACCCCAAGAGGCUUCCCAAGCAAAAAAAACCACUUUAGUAGGAACACAAGGGCUCCAAAUGAUGUUCUUUGAAAACUGAAUAGCACUUCUUGAAUCUAGAGCACUAUAAAGAGAUUUUACAAAAAAAAAUCUCGUCCUUAGUCUCUUUCCACAGCACCCUAUCUUCCAAAUUAGGAUUAAGCCACCUUCUUUGUAUUGUCACUAGUAACUUCCCCACCUCCUCCACUUCCCAAUCAUUGAAAGGCCUAGAGAACCUAGGACUCCAACAGUCCAACCCCCUUCCACGCUCGUUGAGUCCCACAACUCCACUAACCAAGCCUCUUUAGAAGUUGUUAAGGCAUACAAAGAGGAUAAAGAAUCACAAAGAGCAAUGUUCUUGCACCAUUUGUCUUUCCAAAAUUUCACUCUUCUACCAUCCCCCACAAAAAAUACAACUUUGUUUUGCAAAAGAGACUCUUCCUUCUUGAUUUCCUUUCAAAAUCCCACACUAAACCCUUCCCUCACAUCCCUAGUACACCACCCUCCUUCUUCCUCCCCAAACUUCCUACUAACCAAGCCUCCUAAUAAUACUUGCUAUAUUGCAUUAAUUAGAAGGAAUCAAGGGUUAAUUAAGUAUGAAGCAUGAAAUUGUCUAGGAAAUUUGUGUCAAGAUAUGUUAGAAUGAAAGAAAGUUUGAAUAUUGCUCCACAGUAGGAUUGGUUUUUAUUCAUGGCAUAGGAUUUUUUUUCUUAGGCUAGGAUGGAUUGGGUUCAACUAGGCAAUAUUUACAAUAUGAUGAUGAUUUCCUUCAAGUGUUUUAGAAAUUCUAUCAAAGACAGGACUCUUUGGAGGAUAGCAUGUCUCUCCUUGUUGUGGAUUGUGAGGAGAGAGAGGAAUGCUAGGAUUUUCAAGGGUACUUUGAGGACGCCGGAGAUUAUGUGGGAUUCGCUUCAGUUCUAUGUUUCCUUUUGGGCUUAUUGUACAGACAUUUUUAAACCGUAUCCUUUGAGUGUAAUUCAACUUAGUUGGCUGUCGAUUUGAACACCCUAGGGUUGGGUCUACAAGUUCUAGGUUUGUCAUAUGUGUAUAAGCCUUUUGUCCUUUUUGUAUAGUCUUCCUUGUUUAGUAGAGGUUUACUCAGUUUUUGGUUAGGUUUGUACAUCAUGGGGAGGACUUAUCAUCCUUCUCAUGUUUUUCUCUUUUAAUACAAUUGUUUGCCUCUGUUCAAAAAAAAAUAUUGCUCCAACAGUCAGGUCUGGGAAUCAAGCCCUUCAGGAAGCUAUAAGAGGGAUAAAUACCGCAUCCAAACUCAAGUUAACUAACUGAAAGAAAACUCUAGCAACUUACAAAAAAUGUACCUUUACAUUUAAAAAUAAUGAAAAGAAAGAAAGCUGUUAGCAAGGAACUCACCCAGGAUGGCAGUCACCAAUUCUCCACUUCAACUCACCAGCAGAUACAUCAAGUGCUAAAACAUCACCGCUGCCUGUUCCUAGCACUAAUAAUGAACAUCGAAGCUUCCUUUUUUUCUGCCAAUCAUUAACAGAUGACAAAAUAAAGAUAUAGGUUACCAAUCCAAAAAUGUAAUGGCAAAGCAAUUCUUCAAUUAAAUUUUAAUUAAAACAACUAAACAAGGACCUUGCUGUCCAGAGACAACCACUUCAAGCAAGUAUAAUCAACUGAAAGGUGCCCUCUUUCAGGUUUGCUGUAUAAAUUAGUUGUGUCUGUUGAUAUGAUGUCUGCAAAUUCAGUCUGAACCUGACCCUUCAAAGUAUCCCAAAUCUGAACAGAGAAAAAAGUAAAAUUAUAAUCUACAUGAACCACUAAACAAACCACAGGUAACAACCUGUUUCCUCUUUCAACAAAUAUCCCUAUCAAUAUACUUAAACAUUCAUAUAUACAUUAAAAACUAAUAUAGAUUUUCAGAAAUAGCUUACCAACCGGAAGAGGGUUCAAACAAUAAACAAAGACAAAACAAUUCUAGCACUGAUCAUUAAAGAUCCAAAAGUAUAUCAAAUUUAGUAAAAAGAAACAGACCAAAACCUACAAAAUUAUUGUUAAACAAGUGAAAAACAAAACAUUAAAUUAUCUAUUAUCACUCUUGGAGACUGACAGUAUGAAAAUAAGUUCAAAUGCCUCAGAUUCCUUCAUCUCCAUUCUUAAUUCCUAGCCUCUUCAACAACCAAGUUUCAAGUACCUUAAUUCGUCCAUCUCCAGAACUGAUAGCAAAGAAGUCCAAAGAAGGGCUAAAGGUUGUUAAUAAAUCUCGGAUAUUCGAUGGGCCCAUGGUCCUGUAUCAAAAGAAUAAAUUAAAUGUCAAAGUCCUUACAAUUCAUAAUUUACAAAUUAGAAAUGAAAUUGUAGAUAUACGAGAGGUGUUCCAAGACGUUAUUAAGGGAGAUUGACUGUAACUGCCUAUUGAUAAAGAAACAAAACAACUUACCAUGACGAAAAUAAUAUAGCUCAAAAUCACAGUAGGAAGUGCCAAAAAAAGGUGGCAAUCCUAUGAAACAUAUGAUGAAGAAGAGAUAAAAAAAAUGUAUAAGAAAGUCACAGCAUUAAAAAUUUUAAAGCUCGCCAAUAUGUUGCCAAUCCAGUAAAUCAUUUCAUUAACUAAACUGAUUCAGCACUCAAGCUCUAAUAACCUUCGUUUGGUAGCGGAGAAAAUGGAAGAGAAGGAGGAAAAAAAUGCAAUAUCAUGCUAUCUGUUACUGAAUCAAGCCAAACAAUUCAGUUAAACUUGGCUAAACAGCAGUUUUAGCUUUCUCAGCCUGAGUAACGAAAAUUCAAGAUUUUAUCUCUUUUACUUUCCUGCAUUUUCUCAGCUUCCCGGUUUGUCUACGGACAAACUAGAGGAAAAUAAAAAGAAACUAAAACCAAAAACCAGGUAUUUUCAGUUGUUCUCCAUAAAAAGCAAACGAAAAAUCAACAGAACUAAAUCCUGAGAAAUUACCGAUCCGGAUCAGGCUGAAUUUCCGGUUCUCUUAGAAAAUCUUAUAUAGCAGUUCCAAUAAGGGACCGUCGUGCAUCAUCAUACUAAUUUUCCUCCGUUUUUCAGCAACCAAACAGAGGAUAAACUUGUUUUGAGGAGAUGAUGCACGCUUACCUGUUUUGGCGACCGGCGGCGGCGAGAAGCAAAGAAAAAGAGAGAACGAGAGAGGGGUUUUACCUGUUUUGGCGACCGGCAGCGGCGAGAAGCAAAGAAAAAGAGAGAACGAGAGUGGGGUUUUAGGAACGCAGCCGCGUAGCUGCUCUUUUCACAAGGGCCCCUUUUUUUUUCUUUUUCUUUUUUUCUUUUUUUUUUUUCAAUUUUAGGAUUUUUCAUUUUAGCCUCCAUAUUUGAGUGUAUUUAGAUUUGUGGAACCUGUUUUGGGGCUUUUUGUUAGGUACAAUUGAGAUGGGCUGAACCAAAAAGCCCGCCAGGAUGAACAACAUUAAUGGGCCUGAAUUUUAAACCUGUGGAUGGGCUUUGUACUGGAUUCAGCUGUCUGAGCCCAAUGAGUGUUGAAUGUGUUUCUAUAUAAAAUUAAAUUUUUAACAUUGAAAUAUAAGGACUUACUUAAAAACACAUUUGGUAACUCUAUUUUUUUUGGUUAAUAAUGGACUUUAAGAAAAAUAUAUUAUUUUUUAGAAUAAAUUUGAGGCAUGUUUAGGUAUUUUUUGUGGUAAAGAGUUUUGAGAAACAAUGGGAAANNNNNNNNNNNNNNNNNNNNNNNNNNNNNNNNNNNNNNNNNNNNNNNNNNNNNNNNNNNNNNNNNNNNNNNNNNNNNNNNNNNNNNNNNNNNNNNNNNNNUACUUACACGAGGCUUUCAUGAAAAAUAAAUCAAUAAAAACAAUUUUCAUAUUUGAAUUUUGAAACAUAAAACAACUCAGAACUGUUUUUAAAAAUUGUUCUUAAAAAUAGUUUUUUAUUAAGUCACCUUCAAGGAAGCUUUUAUCUUUUAUUUUUCUAUGUUUCAUCCUUGCAUAAAGGGAGUAUAAAGACGUAAGUUAAUCUAAUUAACAAAUAUAGAUAAUCAUCCGAUAAAUGAGUAAAUUAGGUGAUGAUCUCUUUAUAUAUGCAAGUAAUGAAUGUGAUGAAAAAUGAAAAAAAAAUAAGGGGAGAGAUGUUGUAAAUAAAGCGUUUUUAUUGUGGUUCAACUACCUAUCCACUUCCACACCUUGAUAGAUUUCACAAUUUUAAAAGUUUUCUUAAUCAUUAUUCUCCUUAUUAUUCUUUAAGUUUGGAUUUCUUAAGUUUCAAUAGACUUUUACAAUCACUAAGGUGGUGUUUGUUUUUCACUUACUUCCAAAUAUAAGUUAAAACUAAAUAAUACUUAAUAAUAUCAAGUAUUAGGUUGUUUUUUUUUAUAACAUUUUAUUUCUAUAUAAUAUUAAAAAGUAAAGAAAAAUCAAUAUAUUAUUUUUUUCAUUAAAAAAAAGUCAAAUAUUUUGAUUUUUUUAAGCUAAAAAUUUAUAAUAAAAAAUAAAAAAUAAAAAUAAAAACAAAUAAACAAACAACUUAAAGUGUAAAAACAGAUUGUUUUCAACAAAAAUUUAAAAAAACAAACACCUUUUAAAUAAGAUUCCUUAACCACUCGUACAAUAGAUCCUUUAAACACAAAAUGUAAUGAAUGAAUACAACUCUGGUGAAAUGACUAAAGUGCUCACAAUGAAAAGAUAAACAAGUUUGGAUUCAAUAUAAUUUUGGGUUAUCUAAUUAAAAGGGUCAUUAAAAACCCAAUUUUGGAAAUAUAACCUUUCAUCAAUUUUUUACCUCAUUUUAACAAAAAUGCUCUUAUUAUUUUCUUAUAAAAAUAAUCAUUUCUUUUAAACCACACUAUAAAUAUUUCAAAUAGUCAAGGGCUUUUAUGUAAAAAAAAAAUGAAUUACUCUUCAAAUAAAAAUAUUGGAGGGAAUAAAUUCACAAAUAUGGGGUAUUUCAUCCCUUUUAACUAAUUAUUUCUAUAAUUUUAAGAGUUUAAGAAGGCUAGACAAAGACUAAUUAUUAGACACAUUUUGUAAAAACACUAAUUAUUAGACACAUUUUUCGCUCGACACUUUUUUUUUUUAUAAUCAAUGGAAGAUAGGAAUACAAUCUACUACUUUGGUCAAUUAAGCAAUCAUACAAUUGACUACAACCUAGUCAUUAGACAUUUUUUUUUUUAUAAUAAUUAAAAGACAUAAAUACAAUCGAUUACUUUGGUCAAUUAAUCAAUUAUUCAAGAAAUUUAGAAAAAUAUUGGAUAAAAGAUAUAUAUAACGGAUUAUUUCAAAUUGAAACUUAAGAUCAAAAAUCUUGCUUAUAAUGUUGAAAAAUCUUGUAAAACACAAGUUUUUAUCUUUGAAGUAAUCAAUUUCAUUUUUCACAAAAAAAUCAUUAAUAAUACAUGAAUGAAUUCUUUUAAAAAAUCUUAUAAAAAAUGUGAUUAUUUUUCAUUCCCAAAUACUUAGGUUCUAAAGGUCAAUUUUAAAGCAUACUUAUCCUUACUAUGCCUUACAAGAAAAACUAUUCUAUACAUAUGAUCUUGUAAAAAAGUGUAAAUAAAAAAAUAAUAAAAAGAAAAAAGAAAAAAAAAACCUCCCUUGUUUUCCUCUUUUGACCGGAUAUCAUUAUCAUACUUAAAAUUAAAUAUUUAAUCAAAAUAUUAUUUUACUAUCAUCAAAAUUUAGAUUUAACCAAACUUUAGGCUAGUAUGUUGAUAUGACAAGUUAAUUUUCUAUCUUAAAGUUUUAAAAACUUUUGAAAUUAAACAUUUUCUUACACAUUUAUUUUUAAAGUUUUUAGCAUAAAAUUUAAAAUUGAAGCUUUUAAAGGAAAACCUCAUAAUAUAAUAUACUAGAGAGACAUGGUCAAACAAAUAGAGACGAAGCCUCAAAAGGAAGGGGCAAUGGUUGAACCACUUGACAUUGUUGCCUACUACUAAGAUGGUGUAAGAAACAACAUAACCAAUGGAACAUAUGCACAUUAAACAUAGUACAAUUAUUAUAAAUGUCUUAUACAUUAUGUGUGAAAAUACGAAAUAAAUAAAUAAAAUUAUAUUCAACAUUUAUAUUUGUAUACAAACAAUAUUUUCCGAUAGUUUGAUAUAAAAAAACAAAUAAAAAAAAAUGAAGAAAAACAUAUAAAUAUAUUUUCAAUGGACAAACUUAUUCAAUUAGUAUAAAUAUCUUGUAUAUUUAAUACAUAUACCUUAUACUUUGUGAAAAUGCAAAAAUAUAGUAUUUGAUAUUUAUACAUGUGGGUAAGUAAUUUUUCUAAUGGUUUGAUUUAAAAAACAAAUAAUGAUAAUCAAGAAAAACAUGCAAAUAAAUUAGUGUGAAUGAUAAAGGGUGUUUUUUACCAUAAAUUUUCAUGGGCUUAGCAUCAAUUAUGCAUCUAUAGAUGUUAACCCAAUUAGCAUAAUGUGAAAACCCUUACACACAAUAUAUAAACCCUAUACUUGAAUUAGGAAGGACAAAAAAAAAAAAUAGUUAGAGCAUUUGGUACCAUCAAUGAUGACUUCACCUAAAAAAAAGGUUAAUGAACAUUAUGUUUUCACUGGAAGAGCAACUCUGGUAGGACAUAUGAAGUAAAUCAAUGCUCUUUUUUUAACGACGAAGUAGCGAAGUCAAGAUAAUAAGGUUUUACUAACAACAUUAAAGACACGAAUUCCCCAAUAUACUCCAAUUCAUAUUCAAUUGACAGAGCAAACCCAAGUCAACACAUAAGAUUGAUUAUUACUUGUGAUAAUUGAAACCCUAAUUAAAUAAUUAAUGACACAAAUAUAUACAUAAAAAAUAGGGACAUUUGUAUUUUGGACCUCAGGUGAGUCCAAAAAUUAAGGUUUGGUUAAUAUAACUUACAUAAUUGACGAAAAUGAUAUAAGUUAUCAAAAGACCAAAAUACUCAUUGACAUUUCACGUAAGCUUUUUUGGUCUUUAUUGCACCACUAUUCAUGCAACCAUAAUAAUUAUAUUUUAACCAUUUAGAUUUUUCAUUGUUUUUUAAAACUUUUUUUUAUAAAUAAUUGAAAAUUAGCAUUAUUUUCUAUUUUAAAUUAUAAAUAAAGAAAAAUUACGUUCAAAAACUAUUUUAAAAAAUGCUUUCUAAAAAAAUGGUAAUAUGAUUUUAUAUUUUUUAUAUUUUCUUUUAGAAAAAAAAUUUUAAUUAAAAAAUGAAAAAUAAUAAAAAUUGAAAACCUUGUUUAGUACUAUUUUUUAUAUGAAAAUAAUAAAAAGAAUUAAAUUUCAUUCAUUAAUUAUCCAUUAAAUUUUAUAUGAAAAAUUUUUAUAAGAGUAAAAAGAUUCAAUAUCUUUAAAAAAAAACAAAACAAAACAAAAAGUUAAAAAUGAGUAAUACUUAAUUGGGAAUAGAAAAGGGGAAAAAAUACAAAAAAAAAAAUUGAAAUUUACACUCACUAUGUGCCAGGCAGGGAUUAAGGUAGUUUAGGGAUUAAUGAAAGAUAAUAUCAUUUAACUUAAUUUUUACACUUUAUUUGGGUUUUGGGCUUAAAUGUGCAUAAUAUAUGAAUCUUUGGUCAAUUUUUGGGCCCAACUAGGCCCAAAACACAAUUCUCUCUAAAAAAAUAUUUAUUAAAUAAAUAAACUAAUAAAAAUCAUUUAAAGAGUUUCAUAACUUAGUGUGGAAGCUAUUAUAAGAAAAAAGUAUUAUAUAAUAUAGAGUCUAGUUUCAAAGUUUAAAUUUAAGUCUUAAGACAAAUUCACAUUCAAAACUAGGUUUUUAAGUUUGAAAAAUAGAUCUCUUAAACCAAUUAAACGGUAAAAAAAAAAAUUAAAAAGAAAAUUUCUCUAGCUGGUUUCUUCAUCUUGAAAACUAACGGAAAUAUAUAUCAAUAUUUGAUAUGAAAAUUCGUAACCUUAGAAACACAGAACAAAGAGAGUCUGAAGAGACUAUACCAUGAGAGCUUUUCCGAAAGGUUGGUAAAACAUCGUAAUCACCUUUGAGUCUUGCUGAGAAAACAAAGCUUAUUUGCUCGUAGACCAUCGUAGUGGUCGUCAUACCGUGUGAGGACCGGGGAAGCAUCUUUGCUCGUAGACCGGCUUUUGUAGUCUUUCUUUAACAAUUACAAGUUGUCAGGAUUCCCUUCAUCCUCCCAAAUAAUAUUGUUUUUGGUCUUGUUCUGGUUGCAUCUCCGUGGAAGGAAAGAAGAUGAAUCAAGUUCCUUUGUAAGUAUCAAUGUCUCUGAUUCAUUUUUUGGUUCCUAGAAUCGAAUCCUCGCUCUGUUCUUGCUUAAUUUCUCCUUUUUCUGUUGGGUCUUUCACUGCAGGUUUAGCUCUGCACGGGAACUGGCAAAUUUGGUGCUGAGCUCCAAUCUAAUCGACUGUGCUUUCACCAAAAUUCUUGAACUUAAGAGAGGCCAAACAGCCUUGCCUGUUCAAUACAGACUUUAUCAACUGUCUUCCAAGUGCACAAUUGUAGCUUUUGUCUCUUCACCUGACUGCACUCAAUACCCUCUUCCUGGACAAGGAGAUUUAGAUCGGUCUCCUCUCUUUGACUUCCUCCGUACCGAAGAAUACCCGUCCGUCUCCAUUAACAGAGCAGCAUUAGCCCUCUUUACCCCUCUCCAUGAUCAUCUCUCUGGACUAACAGAUGAGGUCAAAAUCUGAUACUUGUUUGAAUUUUCGUUUCCUUUUCGUUAACAAUUGUGAGACACGAAACAGCUUGACCAUGAGAUCUCCCUCAUGGAGUCGAACUACCUGAAGGAUAAGACGUCACACAUAUCCAUUUUCAUGGCAUCGUCACAUGACCCAUUGAUCGGUUGUGAUUCAACUCUUAAUAGGAACACAGUAGAACUGGUGUUGGUAUCUGUCUUUAGAUCAGCUUGCAUAUAUCUUGUCACUGAAAAAGGAAUGUUCAGAAGUGAGAUUAGUGGCAUUAUUCUGACAUGGAUUUCAUAUGGUUACUUGUUUUGCAGUUGACUCAGAUUGAAGGUCAGUUAAUCAUCACUGGGCACUCCCUGGGAGGAUCCGUUGCUUCUCUCUUCACCUUACGCCUGCUAGAUGGCAAUUUAUUAAAACCCAAAUGCCGCCCCUUUUGUAUCACCUUUGGUUCACCCCUUAUAGGCGACUUUGGCCUCCAACACUCCAUAUGGAAUUCUUUCUUCCUGCAUGUAGUGUCUAACCAAGACCCAGUCCCCGGACUCUUCCUCCCAUCCGGCAGAUCUCCGCUCACAUCCUCCCAUUCACAAACUACCGGUUACAAGCCCUUUGGGACAUAUCUCUUGUGCUCUGAACUUGGUUGUGCUUGUUUUGACAACCCUGAUUUAAUUUUGGGAUUGCUUAAAGUCAUAUCAUCAGAGGUUGCCGGAGGAUUGCAGGAUGUUGACUAUGGGGAGAUUUUAAGAAACCUCAAGGAGAGGGCAAUCUGCAAGGGACUGCCGCAGGUGGGUGAACGGUUUGCAGAUCCAUUUUCAGCUGGGAUCAUCAUGGAACUUGAGACAAUUGGAUUUAAUCAAACAAAGGUAAACAGCUUUCUCCCAUCUAAUGAUGUUAUGAAACAUGGUUUACACUACACCAAAUACUGCAAUAACUUCCCUAUUCAGAUUUAUCUUCUUGUUCUUUGGGAUCUUCCAUAACUCGUCUCAUUUUUAAAAUUCAUGGCAGCUGCUGCAGCAUAACAUUGAUAUCAAUGCUAUGAUAAGAACAAUGGAAGCGGAAACCAGAAGACUAAUCCAGAAAAAUAAAGUUUCCGAUGCCAAGAAACUGAAUGACAUAAAAAGAGACAUGGCCCAGCUAGAAUGGUAUAAGAAGAAAUCGGAAAUGGGUUACUACGAUUGCUUCAAAAACCAGGGGUCUAAAAGGGACCUCAACGUUGAACAGUUUAGGGGAAACCUCACAAUGUACUGGGAAGACAUGGUUGCACAAGUACAGAGGAAGCCCCAGGAGGAAGGAGCAACAUUUCGAACCCGUUGGUUCUAUGCAGGGACAGUUUAUAGGAGAAUGGUUGAACCACUGGACAUUGCUGCCUUCUAUAGAGAGGGUGGAACAGACUACAUAAACAAUGGAAGAUCUCUUCAUUACAAGCUGUUGCAGCAAUGGUAUGAAGAAGAUGUGAAACCCCCCUCUAGAGAUAAGCUUGAUUCCAAGAAGCAAAAGGUGUCUGGUAUCCUAACUGAGGAUUCUUUGUUUUGGGCACAUGUGGAGGAGGCCAUCUUGUCAUGCGAAUUGCUCAAGAGUAAAAACUGUACUCUUGAGCAGGGAAAAUCAUCAUGGGAUAAUCUAGUUAAGUUCGAGGAGUAUGUAAUGGAACAGAUUAACAACUAUGCAGCGUCCCCUGAGAUUUUCUUGCGGGAAAGCAGCUUCAUGAAAUGGUGGGGACUGUAUGAGGGCUACAUAGAUACUUGCAGUAAUUCCCAUGGGUCGCAAUUGAUCAACUUCAUGAAGAAACGUAGCUAUAUGAAGUAUGGUUAGAGGGGCAAUCCAGUUUGUGUGUUGUGUUUAUUGUUUUGUGAGCGUUCAAUGGAUAAAACUAGAAAGAGUGUGACCUUUUUCCCUUUUUCUUGGUUGCUGCCCAUAUUCUCAGCACUAUUUUCUUCCUUCUUUUCCUCUGUUUUUUUUGAUAGGAAAUGAAUAUUAUGAUGUUGCUGGGAUGCACUUNNNNNNNNNNNNNNNNNNNNNNNNNNNNNNNNNNNNNNNNNNNNNNNNNNNNNNNNNNNNNNNNNNNNNNNNNNNNNNNNNNNNNNNNNNNNNNNNNNNNAGGGGAAGAAAAACAUGUUUGUUUAGAUUCAACUCCACCAAAACUUGCAACAACUUCCCAUUGAAAAUUUCCUUUUAAGCUUCUGACUGACAUAAAACUAGAUAUGUUCCAGCUAGAACGGUACAAGAAAGAAAUCAAAAGAUGAGCACAAGUAGAGAGGAAGCCUCACCAGGAAGGGGCAGCUUUGCAAACCCUCUGGCUCUGUACAGGAACGAAUUAUAGAAAGAUGGUUGAACCACUUGACAUUGCUGCCUACCACAGAGAGGGUGGAAGACACUACAUAACCAAUGGAGGAUCUAAACAUUACACGCUAUUGGAGCAAUGAUGCAAUGAAGAGGAGAAGGGGGCUUUGUCUUCUCAUGCAAAUUGCUCUCAGAGCUCAGAACCUACUCCUGAAGGGAAAGAAUCAUCAUGGAGUGAUCUGGUUAAGUUUGAGGAUUUAUUUAUAUAAUUGAACUGAUUGGAAGCUAUGCAGUGUCGGCCCCCGCCCGAGCAGCUUCAUGAAACGGUGGAAAGAGUUGGAAGAAGUCAUAGAUACUUGCUAUAGGAGCUUCAUGAAGUAUGGAGAGGUGUGGCAUAGAUACUUGCAGUCUCUGAAUUUCCCAAAUCCAAUUUCAGAUUGUGUUUUUAGAUUCGUGGAACUUGUUUUCGGGCUUUUUGUUAGGUACAAUUGAGAUGGGCUGAACCGAAAGGCCCGCCAGGAUGAACAAUAUAAUGGGCCUGAAUUUUAAACCAGUGGAUGGGUUUUGUACUGGAUUCAGCUGUCUGAGCCCAAUGAGUAUUGAAUGUGUUUCUGUAUAAAAUUAAAUUUUUAACAUUGAAAUAUAAGGACUUACUUAAAAACACAUUUGGUAACUUUUUUUUUUUUUGGUUAAUAAUAAAUUUUUUUAAAAAAAAUUAAAAAUAUAUAAUUUUUUUAGAAUAAAUUUGAGGCAUGUUUAGGUAUUUUUUGUGGUAAAGAGUUUUGAGAAGCAAUGAGAAAUAUACAGAAUACUUUAAAAACUUUUGCAUAAGUAAGAUACUUACACGAGGCUUUUAUGAAAAAUAAAUCGAUAAAAACAAUUUUUAUAUUUGAAUUUCAAAACAUAAAACAACUUAGAACUGUUUUUAAAAACUGUUCUUAAAAAUAGUUUUCUAUUAACUCACAUUCAAGGAUGCUUUUAUCUUUUAUUUUUCUAUGUUUCAUCCUUGCAUAAAUGGAGUACAAAGUCGUAAGUUAAUCUAAUUAACAAAUAUAGAUAAUCAUCCGAUAAAUGAGUAAAUUAGGUGAUGAUCUCUUUAUAUAUGCAAGUAAUGGAAUGAAUGUGAUAAAAAAAUAAAAUAAAAAAGUAAGGGGAGAAAUGUUGUAAAUAAAAUGUUUUUAUUGUGGUUCAACGACCUAUCCACUUCCACACCUUGACAUAUUUCACAAUUUUAAAAGUUUUUUUAAUCAUGAUUCUCCUUAUUGUUCUUUAAGUCUGGAUUUCUUAAGUUUCAAUAGACUUUUACAAUCACUAAGAUGACGUUUGUUUUUUCACUUAAUUCUAAAUAUAAGUUAAAACUAAAUAAUAUUUAAUAAUAUCAAGUAUUAGGUUGUUUUUUUUAUAACAUUUUAUUUCUAUAUAAUAUUAAAAAGUAAAGAAAAAUCAGUAUGUUUUUUUUUUAUUUAAAAAAAGUCAAAUAUUUUGACUUUUUUUUAAGCUAAAAAUUUAUAAUAAAAAAUAAAAAAUAAACAAACAAACAAACAACUUGAAGUGUAAAAACAGAUUGUUUUCAAUAAAAAUUUUAAAAAAUAAACACCUUAUAAAUAAAAUUCCUUAACCACUCGUACAAUAGCUUCUUUAAGCACAAAAUGUAUUGAAGCGCUCACAAUGAAAAGAUAAACAAGUUUGGAUUUAAUAUAAUUUUGGGUUAUCUAAUUAAAAAGGUGUAGACCCCCGGAGGCAGACAGUUUUUUUAGUUAUUAUUAUUAUUUGUUUAUUUUUAAUUUUUCCUACCUUUUUCUUCCCAAGCCGCUCGACAUGAUGGGACUAAAGUGGGCUGGUUUUUGGGGCAGAGAGGGGACUCAAGUGGGCGUUUUUUUUUUUUUUUGGGCGGCAGAUGGGAUGGUGUACGGGGGAUGGCUUGUGGAGGAAGACUCAAAACAGGGGAAGGAAGCGAAAGAAAGGCAGGAAAAAAAGUGUUGGAGGACGGGGGGGAUACCUUGCUCAAGGAGAAAACUUUCAGGUAAAAUUUUCUGUGAACUCCAUGUUUCUUCGUUAUGACAUUAUUGUGCUCACUUCUUUUGUUGAUUCCAGGAUGUGAUUUGUUGGUCGGUUUGGAUGUCAUGGAUUAUUGGUUUAUUUUUGCUGAAUUUAUCCGUGUGCGGAGGUGCUCUGUUUGACUCUAUUCUGGUUUCCCUAACUCCUUCCAUAAGCACCUGAAUGUAUGAAUUCAUCCCUGAGCCCGAUUAUAUAAAAAUCAUGCUUUGUUCCCUGUGGUUUCUUCCCUCUGUUUGUUGCUCUAUUCCUUGUUGGUUGUGGGAAUGAGGUCAUCGAUGGCCAGGUUAUCGAAACUGGGGAAGUGACUUCGUGAACGGAUCACCUUCUAUGCACCCAUCUCAUCUUUCUCAUUCACUCAUCACGGCUACACUUCCAUGAUUACACCAUCCUCAGUCAAAUACAUAUCUCCAUACCCAUUUUUCACCUUUCCCGUACCUUCCUCACCUAUCCAUCACACCCAUCGUCAUAUCUAGUUCAUCACUAACCCAUUUUCCUCUCGCCAGCCGUGGUUAUGCUUCGUCCAUCUCAUGCAUACGAUCCCUCACUACUAUUCCUAUAUUCUCAUCCUUCCAAACUCCUCAACACAACACCUAACCCUCAUACCUGCACCCCGCCAUGCCCGCGCCUAGCUCACCCCCAUAGGAACCUCAAAGCCGUUCGCCUACUUGCAUGGGAGCCAUGCAUGCCGCCCCUCCCCGCGUCUUCCUGCACCGGCUAUGUGCGCGCCUGCACCAGCCACCAAUGGCGGCAGCGCCUUCUGGACGUCGCCAGGCCGCUGCCACCUGCUCCGGCAACGCGCGCGCCUGCACCAGCAGCCAUGGCGGCGGCACCUUCUGAACGUCACCAGACCGCCGCCACGGCUCCCCUCUUCCCCGCGCCGCCGCUGCUCCUCUUUUCCCCGCGCCGCCAUGGCUCUCCUCUUCAUCGUGCCGCCGGUGGAGUCUUCGCGGGUGGAGAGGCAAUUGGUGAAGAGAAGCUUUGCCCAUGAUGGUUUUUGGGCUUGGGUUUGAACUGGGAACCCAGGCCCAAGCCUAUGAAGAGAAGCCCAGGUUUAUGAAGGCUUUAAUUGCCUUGGGCUUGCCCAUUAAUAUCAUAUGGAUUGGGCUUGAUGAGGAUGGGGCUUAUUGGUGGAUUUGGGCUUGACUAGGUUUGGGCUUUAUUAGGGUUGCUGAUGGACUGGGUUUGGGCUCUAUUAUUAUUAUUAAUUCAACAUUUAAAAUACUAUUAUUAUCAUUGUUAUUAAUCAAACUUUUAAAAAUCUUAUUAUUACUAUUAUUAUUAUUACGUUUAUCAUUAUUAUUAUUUCUAUUCAACAUUUAAAAUAUUAUUAUCAUUAUUAUUAUUAAUUCAACAUUUAAAAUAUUAUUAUUAUCACUAUCAUUAAUCCAAACUUUCAAAACCCUAUAAUUAUUAUUACUAACCCAAAUUUCAAAAUCUAUUUAUUUAUUAUUAUUUAUUAUUAUCAUUAAUCCAAAUUUCAAAAUCUAUUUAUUAUUGUUAUCCUUAUCAUUAAACCCAACCUCCAAAAUCUCAUCAUUAUCAUUAUUAUUAAUUCAAACUUUCAACACCUAUUUAUUAUUAUUUAUUAUUAUCAUCAGUCCAAACCUCCAAGAUCUCAUCAUUAUUAUUAUAAUUAACUCAACUUUCAAAAUUUAUUUAUUAUUAUUAUCAUCAUUAAUCCAAGCUUUCAAAAAUCUCAUCAUUAUUGUUAUUAUUACCUCAACUUUCAAAAUCUUAUUUUUAUUAUUAUCAUUGAUUAAAACUUUCAAAACCUUAUUAUUAUUAUUAAUUCAAACUUUCUAACUUCCAAUUUCCAAGCCCAAUUUAUAAAAAUUCAACCUUCAAAUGAUACUCCAAAAUUCCGAUCUUUAAAACUCAAUUUCGAUUUCCGAAAAUUCUCAUACUCACUUUAAUCUAUUUAAUUAUUGUUAUUUUGAUUAUUUAUUUCAAAACCCCAUUUCAAAUCAAAUUCUCUAAAACUUCUGAUUCUCGAAUUAAAUUCCUAAUCCCAAAAAUUCUCAUGUUCGCACUAAAUUAUUUGAUCAUUGAUAUUUUAUUUAUUUAUUUAUUUCAAAACUCCAUUUUAAAUCAAAUUCUCUAAAACUUCUGAUUUCCGAAUUAAACUCCUAAUCCCAAAAAUUCUCAUGUUCUCAUUAAUUUAUUUAAUCAUUAGUAUUUUAUCUCCAUUUUAAAUCAACUCUUUAAAACUUCAGAUUUACAAAUUAAAUUCCUAAUCUUGAAAAUUCCCAUAUUCACAUUAAUUUAAUCACUAAUAGUUUGUUUAUUUAUCUUAAAAUUCUAUUUUAAACAAUUCUUUAAACUUUCUAACUUCUAAAUCUAAUUUCCAAUUUCAAAAAUUCCAGCAUUCCAUUCAUUUAUUUAAUCAUUAUUUUCGUCCUUAUUAUUAUUAGUCCAUUUAUUUACUUCAAAAUUUCAUUUUUAAACAUUUUUUUGAAUCCCAAUUUUCGAACUUAAUUUCCAAUUUCUAAAAUUCUAAUUUCCUUCAAGUUUGACAUCCCAAAAUUCCAACUCUUAAAUUUAAUUCUCAAGACUCCAAUCUUCAAAUAAUUUUCGAGACUCCAAUUUCCAAAUAAAUUUCAAAAAUUCAAUUUUCUCUCUAACAGUUUUAAUUCUCUUCGGGUUUCAAAUAAUCUUCGAUUUCUCUUGAUUUUAUAUAAACAUGAAUGCUAUUUUCAUAAUUCCAGAAUAAUGGGAUUUGUGAUAUUAAUUCCUGCAAAAAUGAAUGGGCUUUGGUGGGGGCCCAACAUACGUGCUUUCCUCAUGAUUGAUUGAUUGUUUGAUUGAUUUAAUUGCCAUGCGUGCUUGAUUUUAUUCUGCUCUAUGGCAUGCCCGAAAUUAUCCUUUAAUUGUGCACUAACCUCACUUUUUGAUAAGCGCAUUGUGGCUCGUCACCCAGGUACGUAUCUAUCCCCAUUCUGAUAUUUCCAUAUACAUGUUUUGAUUCUCCUAUGUGCAUGAUAGUUCCGGGUAUUCAUUGUUUUUCCUCAUCAAUUGCCAUGAUUGCUUCAUUUUAUUAGUAGAGACCCAUUUAGGGACUUAGAGGGGUGCUACGGUUCAUACCGUACCUUCCUGAUAAGUAACCUGACCCUCGGACCCGAUCCGGUUUUUCACAGACCACCUUUUCCAAAGUAAGGAGUCACACUUAGGGUUUUUCUUUCUUAUUUUGUUUACCCUUUUAAAAAUAAAACAAAAAUAAGUGGCGACUCCAAGUCAUUUUCUUAAACAAUAAAAAAUCAAAUUUUCAAAUAAAAAUCGAGUCCGCCAUUGAGUGGGAAACGCAUGAGCCGAAAUGCGGGGUCCACAAAAGGUCAUUGAAAACCCAAUUUUAGAAAUAUAACCCUUCAUCAUUUUUUUUAUCUCAUGUUAACAAAAAUGCUCUUAUUAUUUUCUUAUAAAAAUAAUCAUUUCUUUUAAAACACACUAUAAAUACUCCAAAUAGUCAGGGGCUUUUAUGUAUAAAAAAAUGAAUUACUCUUUAAAUAAAAAUAUUGGAGGGAAUAAAUUAACAAAUAUGAGGUAUUUCAUCCCUUUUAUCUAAUUAUUUCUAUAAUUUUAAGAGUUUAAGAAGGCUAGACAAAGACUAAUUAUUAGGCACAUUUUGUAAAAACACUAGUUAUUAGACACAUUUUUCGCUCAAUCAAUCAAUCACGGAGUUGACUAGACACUAAUUAUUGGACUUUUUUUUUUUUUUUUUUAUAAUAAGUGAAAGACAAGAAUACAAUCGACUACUUUGGUCAAUUAAACAAUCAUUCAGUUGACUAUAAACUAAUCUUUAGAUUUUUUUUUUUAUAAUAAUUGGAAGACAUGAAUACAAUCGAUUACUUUGAUUAAUUAAUCAAUUAUUCAAGAAAUUUAGAAAAAUAUUGGAUAAAAGAUAUAUAUAACGGAUUAUUUCAAAUUGAAACUUAAGAUUAUAAAUCUUACUUUUAAUGUUGAAAAAUCAUGUAAAACACAAGUUUUUAUCUUUGAAGUAAUCAAUUUCAUUUUUCACAAAAAAUCAUUAAUAAUGCAUGAAUGAAUUCUUUUAAAAAAUCUUAUAAAAAAUGUGAUUAUUUUUCAUUCCCAAAUACUUAGGUUCUAAAGAUCAAUUUUAAAGCAUACUUAUCCUUACUAUGCCUUACAAGAAAAUCUAUUCUAUACAUAUGAUCUUGUAAAAAAAUGUAAAUAAAAAAAUAAAAUAAAAUAAAAAGAAAAAAAAAAGCCUCUCUUGUUUUCCUCUUUUGACUGGAUAUCAUUACCAUACCUAAAAUUAAAUAUUUAAUUAAAAUAUUAUUUUACUAUCAUCAAAAUUUAGAUUUAACCAAACUUUAGGCUAGUAUGUUGAUACGAUAAGUUAAUUUUCUAUCUUAAAGUUUUAAAAACUUUUGAAAUUAAACAUUUUCUUACACAUUUAUUUUUAAAGUUUUUUAGCAUAAAAUUUAAAAUUGAAGCUUUUAAGGGAAAACCUCAUAAUAUAAUAUACUAGAAAGACAUGGUCAAACAAAUAGAGACGAAGCCUCAAAAGGAAGGGGCAAUGGUUGAACCACUUGACAUUGUUGCCUACUACUAAGAUGGUGUAAGAAACAACAUAACCAAUGGAACAUAUGCACAUUAAACAUUGUACAAUUAUUAUAAAUGUCUUAUACAUUAUGUGUGAAAAUACGAAAUAAAUAAAUAAAAUUAUAUUCAACAUUUAUAUUUGUAUACAAACAAUAUUUUCGAUAGUUUGAUAUAAAAAAACAAAUAAAAAAAUGAAGAAAAGCAUAUAAAUAUAUUUUCAAUGGACAAACUUAUUCAAUUAGUAUAAAUAUCUUGUAUAUUUAAUACAAAUACCUUAUACUUUGUGAAAAUGUAAAAAUAUAGUAUUUGAUAUUUAUAAAUGUGGGUAAGUAAUUUUUCUAAUGGUUUGAUUUAAAAAAAAAAUAAUGAGAAUCAAGAAAUACAUGCAAAUAAAUUAGUGUGAAUGAUAAAGGAUGUUUUUUUACCAUAAAUUUUCAUGGACUUAGCAUCAAUUAUGCAUCUAUAGAUGUUAACCCAAUUAGCAUAAUGUGAAAACCCUUACACACAAUAUAUAAACCCUAUACUUGAAUUAGGAAGGACAAAAAAAAAAUAGUUAGAGCAUUUGGUACCAUCAAUGAUGACUUCACCUAAAGAAAAGUUAAUGAACAUUAUGUUCUCAAUGGAAGAGCAACCCUAGUAGGACAUAUGGAGUAAAUUGAUGCUCUUCUUUCGACAACGAAGUAGCUAAGUCAUGAAAAUGGGGUUUUGCUAACAACAUUAAAUGCAAGAAUUCCCCAAUAUACUGCAAUUCAUAUUCAAUUCAUAGACUUUCAACUAACUACUCUCAAUAACGAGCAAACCCAAGUCAAUACAUAAGAUUGAUUAUUACUUAUGAUAAUUGAAACCAUAAUUAAUAAGACAUAUAUAUAUAUAUAUAUAUAUAUAUAUAUAUAUAUAUAUAUAUAUAUAUAUAUAUAUAUAUAUAUAUAUAUAUAUAUAUAUAUAAAAAAAAUAGAGACAAUUGUGUUUUGGAUCCAGGUGGAUCAAAAAAUAAGGUUUGGUUUAUAGAACUUACAUAAUUGAUGGAAAUGAUAUAAGUUAUCAAAAGACCAAAAUACUCAUUGACCUUUCACGUAAGUUUUUUUGGUCUUUAUUGUACCACUAUUCAUGCAACCAUAAUAAUUUUAUUUUAACUAUUUGGAUUUUUCAUUGUUUUUUAAAACUUUUUUUUUUAUAAAUAAUUGAAAAUCAACAUUAUUUUCUAUUUUAAAUUAUAAAUAAAGAAAAAUUACGUUCAAAAACUAUUUUAAAAAAUACUUUCUAAAAAAAUGGUAAUAUGAUUUAUAUUUUUUACAUUUUCUAUUAGAAAAAAAUAUUUAAUUAAAAAUGAAAAAUAAUUUUUAAAAAUAAAAAUUGAAAACCUUGUUUAGUACUAUUUUUUUAUAUGAAAAUAAUAAAAAUAAUUAAAUUUCAUUAAUUGAUUAUCCAUUAAAUUUUAUAUGAAAAUUUUUUAUAAGAGUAAAAAGAUUCAAUAUCUUUAAAAAAAGAAAAAAAAAACAAAACAAAACAAUAAGUUAGAAAUGAGUAAUACUUAAUUGGGAAUAGAAAAGGGGAAAAAAUUGAAAUUUACACUCAUUAUAUGCCUAUGUAGGGAUUAAAGGUAUUUUAGGGAUUAAUGAAGGAUAAUAUCCUUUAACUUAAUUUUUAUAAUUUAUUUGGGUCUUGACCUUAAAUGUGCAUGAUAUAUGGAUCUUUGGUCAAUUUUUGGGCCCAUUCGGGCCCAAAAUACAAUUCUCCCUACAAAAAUAUUUAUUAAAAUAAAUUAAUUAAUAAAAGCCAUUUAAAGAGUUUCAUAACUUAGUAUCGAAGCUAUUGUAAGAAAAAAGUAUUAUAUAAUGUAGGGUUUAGGUUCAAAGUCUACCUAAGAUUAAAUUUAAGUCUCGAGACAAAUUCACAUUCAAAACUAGGUUUUUAAGUUUGAAAAAUAGAUCCCUUAAACAAAUUAAAUGGUAAAAAAUAAUUACAAAGAAAAUUUCUCUAGCUGGUUUCUUCAUCUUGAAAACUAACGGAAACAUAUAUUAAUAUUUGGUAUGAAAAUUCGUAACCUUAGAAACACAGCUUUGAGUCUUGCUGAGAAAAACAAAGCUUAUUUGCUCGUAGACCAUCGUAGUGGUCGUCAUACCGUGUGAGGACCGGGGAAGCAUCUUUGCUCGUAGACCGGCUUUUGUAGUCUUUCUUUAACAAUUACAAGUUGUCAGGAUUCCCUUCAUCCUCCCAAAUAAUAUUGUUUUUGGUCUUGUUCUGGUUGCAUCUCCGUGGAAGGAAAGAAGAUGAAUCAAGUUCCUUUGUAAGUAUCAAUGUCUCUGAUUCAUUUUUUGGUUCCUAGAAUCGAAUCCUCGCUCUGUUCUUGCUUAAUUUCUCCUUUUUCUGUUGGGUCUUUCACUGCAGGUUUAGCUCUGCACGGGAACUGGCAAAUUUGGUGCUGAGCUCCAAUCUAAUCGACUGUGCUUUCACCAAAAUUCUUGAACUUAAGAGAGGCCAAACAGCCUUGCCUGUUCAAUACAGACUUUAUCAACUGUCUUCCAAGUGCACAAUUGUAGCUUUUGUCUCUUCACCUGACUGCACUCAAUACCCUCUUCCUGGACAAGGAGAUUUAGAUCGGUCUCCUCUCUUUGACUUCCUCCGUACCGAAGAAUACCCGUCCGUCUCCAUUAACAGAGCAGCAUUAGCCCUCUAUACCCCUCUCCAUGAUCAUCUCUCUGGACUAACAGAUGAGGUCAAAAUCUGAUACUUGUUUGAAUUUUCGUUUCCUUUUCGUUAACAAUUGUGAGACACGAAACAGCUUGACCAUGAGAUCUCCCUCAUGGAGUCGAACUACCUGAAGGAUAAGACGUCACACAUAUCCAUUUUCAUGGCAUCGUCACAUGACCCAUUGAUCGGUUGUGAUUCAACUCUUAAUAGGAACACAGUAGAACUGGUGUUGGUAUAUCUGUCUUUAGAUAAGCUUGCAUAUAUCUUGUCACUGAAAAAGGAAUGUUCAGAAGUGAGAUUAGUGGCAUUAUUCUGACAUGGAUUUCAUAUGGUUACUUGUUUUGCAGUUGACUCAGAUUGAAGGUCAGUUAAUCAUCACUGGGCACUCCCUGGGAGGAUCCGUUGCUUCUCUCUUCACCUUACGCCUGCUAGAUGGCAAUUUAUUAAAACCCAAAUGCCGCCCCUUUUGUAUCACCUUUGGUUCACCCCUCAUAGGCGACUUUGGCCUCCAACACUCCAUAUGGAAUUCUUUCUUCCUGCAUGUAGUGUCUAACCAAGACCCAGUCCCCGGACUCUUCCUCCCAUCCGGCAGAUCUCCGCCCACAUCCUCCCAUUCACAAACUACCGGUUACAAGCCCUUUGGGACAUAUCUCUUGUGCUCUGAACUUGGUUGUGCUUGUUUUGACAACCCUGAUUUAAUUUUGGGAUUGCUUAAAGUCAUAUCAUCAGAGGUUGCCGGAGGAUUGCAGGAUGUUGACUAUGGGGAGAUUUUAAGAAACCUCAAGGAGAGGGCAAUCUGCAAGGGACUGCCGCAGGUGGGUGAACGGUUUGCAGAUCCAUUUUCAGCUGGGAUCAUCAUGGAACUUGAGACAAUUGGAUUUAAUCAAACAAAGGUAAACAGCUUUCUCCCAUCUAAUGAUGUUAUGAAACAUGGUUUACACUACACCAAAUACUGCAAUAACUGCCCUAUUCAGAUUUAUCUUCUUGUUCUUUGGGAUCUUCCAUAACUAGUCUCAUUUUUAAAAUUCAUGGCAGUUGCUGCAGCAUAACAUUGAUAUCAACGCUAUGAUAAGAACAAUGGAAGCGGAAACCAGAAGCCUAAUCCAGAAAAAUAAAGCUUCCGAUGCCAAGAAACUGAAUGACAUAAAAAGAGACAUGGCCCAUCUAGAAUGGUAUAAGAAGAAAUCGGAAAUGGGUUACUACGAUUGCUUCAAAAAUCAGGGGUCUAAAAGGGACAUCAACGUUGAACAAUUUAGGGGAAACCUCACAAUGUACUGGGAAGACAUGGUUGCACAAGUACAGAGGAAGCCCCAGAAGGAAGGAGCAACAUUUCGAACCCGUUGGUUCUAUGCAGGGACAGUUUAUAGGAGAAUGGUUGAACCACUGGACAUUGCUGCCUUCUACAGAGAGGGUGGAACAGACUACAUAAACAAUGGAAGAUCUCUUCAUUACAAGCUGUUGCAGCAAUGGUAUGAAGAAGAUGUGAAACCCCCCUCUAGAGAUAAGCUUGAUUCCAAGAAGCAAAAGGUGUCUGGUAUCCUAACUGAGGAUUCUUUGUUUUGGGCACAUGUGGAGGAGGCCAUCUUGUCAUGCGAAUUGCUCAAGAGUCAAAACUGUACUCUUGAGCAGGGAAAAUCAUCAUGGGAUAAUCUGGUUAAGUUCGAGGAGUAUGUAAUGGAACAUAUUAACAACUAUGCAGCGUCCCCUGAGAUUUUCUCGAGGGAAAGCAGCUUCAUGAAAUGGUGGGGACUGUAUGAGGGCUACAUAGAUACUUGCAGUAAUUCCCAUGGGUCGCCAUUGAUCAACUUCAUGAAGAAACGUAGCUAUAUGAAGUAUGGUUAGAGGGGCAAUCCAGUUUGUGUGUUGUGUUUGUUGUUUUGUGAGCGUUCAAUGGAUAAAACUAGAAAGAGUGACCUUUUUCCCUUUUUCUUGGUUGCUGCCCAUAUUCUCAGCACUAUUUUCUUCCUUCUUUUCCUCUGUUUUUUUGUUAAGAAAUGAAUAUUAUGAUGUUGCUGGGAUGCACUUUCAUUGUUGUUCUAUUACAUUGUGUUUUAUUUAUAUCC